GCACCGAGCACUUCGUGCUUGUAAGUUUUCUGCCGUUAGAUCUACUGCUUAAUCAUUUCUAUCCAUUUGGUUAUAUUAUUUAACCAACCAUCGACUCAACCCUAGAGGAUUAUUAUAUAUCAUCCUAACAGCAUAUCCUUUAAUUCAAGGGCCGAAGACCUCUAAGCACCAAUCACUUGAUAUUUUUAAAAAUAUAGGAGCUCAAUUCUAUUAAAUUAUUUUUCUAAUUUUUGUACUCGAGCAAAAAAAAAAGAAAAAGGGUUUAUUGCAUACGGAUUCCUGCGAAUAUAGUGAAUUACAAAUAUACUCCGAUAAAGUUCAACUUUUAUAUACUGUUUCUGCAAAACUCUUGAUAUUUUCAAAUAUGUCCUUAUCGUUAGAAUAUGUUAGAAAAAUUUAGUUAACUAUAUAUUAAAUACUUAAUCCUGAUUAGUUAAUGAAGUGACUUUUUUACAAUUCCUUUUCAAUUAACAGCUGAAAUUUUUCAAAAAAUAUAUUUAUGAUGACAAAAAUAUCAUUUUGUUUAUAAAAUAGGUAGUACUUUAACGGUAACAAAUCCGAUAGACAUAUUCGAAAACAUUAAAAUUUUUGUAAAGACAACAUAUAAAAUUUUAAUUUUAUAGAGAUAUAUUUAUAAUACAUUAUAUUUGUACCGAUAUGUAUGAAAUUCACAAAAAAAAAAAAAAACACUUAUUUUUGACAAAUCAAACUUAACUUAUUAUGAAGCGAAUUUCAAAGCGAAAAGAAAAGUGAAUGAAUUUGAUGCGGCUUAAACUUUUAUUAUUAUUAUUCUUAUUUUAGUGACGAAAAUUUUAUUCGAGGCGAAUAACGUGCGACACGUGUCCACUUUCCACGUAAAGGCGUUCACAUUCGCGGGGGAUCCGCAGGCGCCCGCAGAACAGCAAACACGCGUGCCGAGGCGGGUCAACAGCUGACAGCGAAGCACCUGUUCGGCGUGGCGGGGCCCACGCGCCGGCAGUUACGCUUCCACCCGUCGCCGAAACAUGCCCCAAAAAGCCCGCGAAAGCCGACACCCCACCUCGUUAUAGAAACUGUUUCCUGCACCCGGUGUAUAACUACAUCUUCUCCCAAAAAAAAGAAAAAAAAAAAAAGUAAACUUCAAAUACUACCCAUAUAAUUUUACACUUUCAUAUUUUAGUACCCCGUAAUUUAAAAUUUAUCAAUUUAAUACCUGUGGUUUCAUUUUUCUAUUUUCGUUAGCUCCCCCGUUAACAUUUCGUUAAAUUAUAUAUACAAGAACUUCAGAUACUCUAUUUAGGUUUACCAAGUAUUCACUUUAGCACCGUUUAAUUUUAACUUUGUCACUAAUUUAACGAAAAAAAUUAGUGAAGAAAAUAAUAAAAAGAGAAAAAUAAAAUCACAGUAUCUGAGGUUUUCUAAAAAAAAUGCUAUGAUGGGAGAUCUCAAAAUUAAAAUAUACUAAUUAAUUAAGCUUGUUUUAAUAUGUUAAAAAGGCCCAAUCUUAUAAAUAAAAGGAAAAACUUCAAAACCCUUUCUCUGAUUUCGUACUUUUUUAUUUUAAUACCAUGUGGUUUAAAGUGUAUCAAGUUAGUACCCUGUGGUUUCGUGCUUUCUCACUUUAGUACUCUGUGGUUUAAAGUGUAUCAAAUUAGUACUCUGUGGUUUUAUUUUGGUAUUAAGUUAGUAUCCUGUAAUUUUAUUUUUUUUAAUAAAAUAUUAAACCACAUAGUACUAAGGUGAGAAAGUGCGAAACCACAUGAUACUAAUUUGAUACAUUUUAAACUAUAGGGUACUAAAAUGAGAAAGAGUAAAACCACAAAAAGAAUAUUUAAAGUUUUCCUAAAUAAAAAGAAAAUCAUAAACUUCGGACGGUUGUAGAUCGUAUCGAUCAUGUUGGGAUAUUAAUUAUUGGCUGUUGCGUGCGAUGUAUGAGAUGUAGGGAUACAGCUGGUGCAGAGAAUAGGUUCGCUCUCCAUGUUUUUUUUUUUUUUUUUUUUUUUUCUGUUUGGUCCGUGAUCUUUUGCAACAGGGUUCCAUAGUUUGGACUUCCCCUCUUUUCCCUCCUCAAAAUCUAGCAGCUUCAAAUAAGAAGACUUGCCAGGUCUCGGGUCUCCCACAUCAUCAAGAAACACUUGAUAUUUUUUUUUUAUUUUUAUUUUUCACAUGUGUUGCAGCCUUUGCUUUUUAUUUUGUUUAGAAUUAGGUUAGUUAAAACACGACGAAAUAGACUUUGUGGAUUCGAACUUUUCUUUCUGCGUUUACCCUGUCCAUCAAGAAUUACCAACCAUUAUUAUGAAUAGUAUUGUGUAAAAAAAGCAGUCGUAUUUGUGUUGCGCCGUGAGAAUAGUGUAAUAGUAUUAAUUUAUGAAAUAUGUAUGUAGUGAAAUAUAUGAUAUAGCUCGAAGUACAUAUAUAUAUAUAUAUAUAUAUAUAUAUAUAUAUAAUAAAAUAAAAUUUAGAGUUUAGAAAUCAAUUUUGCAGAUUUUUAUAUAACAAAUUUUCAACUUGCCUACCAUUUAAACAGAGAAAAGCUAUUGAUAUAUUUUAAAAAAUGAGAUGUGAAUUAUACGUCCGGAUCAAAAAAUUUAAAUAGUAUUAUAAAAUAUUUGAUAUUAAAAGAGUAAUAAAUAAGAUGUAACAAGAGUCUACAUGUAGCACUAUUUUUUAAAAAGUAAUAAAUAAGGUGCAAAACUGACCGUCCCUAGAGUAAAAUAAGUGGCAAAGGGCUUGAUGGUUGGUAUCCGAGAUCCAAGUUCGAAUCCUAGUUGAUUCACAUUUUUAACUAAGUUUAUUUUUAAAUGAAAUAAACGAAGUGGAUAACGUGUUAUCUAUCUUUAAAAAAAAUAUAUAAUAAAAAAUUAAAAUAUAAAUUAUUAUUUAUAAACAGAUACAUUAAAUCUGGUCAGUAAAAUAGAACGAGUAGCUGUACAGUAUGAUGAGGUUCGAAGUAACCCCGACCAUCUCCACCACGACCUCGCCACCCCCCCUCCGGAGGGUCCCACCGGCGCUACAAGUGGACGGCCAGUGGGCGCAGCAUCUCUCCUCUCCCUCUCGUCGGGCCAGAGAGAGAGAGAGAGAGAGAGAGAGAGAAAUAGAGAAAGAGAAAGCGAGAGAAAGUGAGCGGAGAGCGACGGGUGGCGACCUCAGGCAUCUAUCUGCAAACACACCCCUCUUUCUCUCUUACUCCCUCUCUCUCAUGUUUCUCUCUCAUCACGGGUCCCACCACAUCAUCCCCCACUCCUUCUCUCUUUACAUCUCCCAAAUAUAAUAAAUAUAAUUAGCCAGGCGAGUACUUCUGGGAGAUGCUCCGCGCUACUACUCCUCCCCCUCCUCCUCCUCCUCCUCGGUGUCUCUCUCUCUCUCUCUCUCUUCUCUCUUUAUUUAUAUCUUUUUUUGUAUUUUAUAUUACACCUCUCGCACUACCCUCUACAGCAGACUGUGUAGCAACUCCCAACCCCCUCCUUCCAAAACAUCGAUUCAUUAUAUAUAUAUAUAUAUAUAUAUUGUAUAUCUAUAUAUAUAUAUAUUAUAUAUUAUAUAUAUAUAUAUAUAUACACACACAUAAAUAAAUAAAUAAAAUAUAUAUAUAUAUAUAUAUACUAUAUAUAUUAUAUAUAAUAUAUAUAAAAAAAUAUAUGAUAAAAUGUAUUAUUGAUAUUAUUAUAAUUAUUUAUAAUUUAUUUAAAAAUAAAAUUUGGAGAGAUCGUUAUCGUUUAAAUUCGGUUAGAGAAAUCGUUUUAUAUGCCGACGCCGGUGAGCAGCGCGCGCCAGUGUCUGGCGGCGGGGAGCGGCGCGCGCGCUCGACGACGCGUUGGCGUGGCGCGGCGCCGGCGCCACGCCAGACGAGGUCCCUCCACCUCGUCUUCGCCUCCUCUCCCGUCCUGAGACGACGUCGACGUCACGGACGACAUCGUCGUCGCCGCCCUCGCCUCGCCCUCGCCCUCGCCGUCCUCGUCAGUCGCCCGCGAUCCUGCGUAACGCGCUCGCGCGCGCGCGGAGCGCGGCGUACUCGCCCAGGCUCCAGUUCAAGGCCUCGAGCUCUGCUUCGGCGUCGCCUCGAUCGGGCCCGUCGUCGUCGUCGUCGUUCGUCUUCUCGUCCUCGCGGCGGCGGCGCUGGGUCGGGGCAUAACCGCGCCGCUCCGCCGACGCGCGAGGAGCGCCCGUGUCGAACUCGCUCAUGGCGGCGAUCAAGCGGUCGCAGGCGAACAGCGGGCGCAACCCCGGACACGUUCCACCCGGUCUACCAGCGCAAGCAAGCGCGGCGGCGGCGGCUGCGGCGGCGUCGAGCUCGACGUUCUCCGGGGUGAAGGUGGAGCUGCAGCAGCUGGUGCUCGCGAUCCUCGACGACCCCGUGGUGAGCCGCGUGUUCGGGGAGGCCGGGUUCCGGAGCUGCGACAUCAAGCUCGCGAUCCUCCGCCCCCCGCCGCCGAUCCUCCGCUUCCCCCGCGCCGCGCGGUGCCCGCCGCUCUUCCUCUGCAACUUCGCCGCCGGGGACGACUUCGAGGCCCGCGGCUUCGCCUUCCCCUUCGCUCCGCCCCUCCCCCACCCCGGAUCCGACUCCUCCUCCCCCGCCGCCGCCGCCGCCGCCGCCGCCGCCCCCGCCGCCGAGAACUUCCGCCGCAUCGGCGACGUCCUCGCUCGCCGCGGCGGCGGCGGCGGCGGAGGCCGCAAUCCCCUGCUCGUCGGCGUCGGAGCGGCGGAGGCGGCCAAGGACUUCGCCCGCGCCGUGGAGCGCCAGGACUGGGCGGCGCUUCCCCCCGAGCUCCGCGGGCUGAAGCUCCUCGACCUCGAAUCCGACCCCCCCGAUCGGCUCGAGGAGGCGGCGCGGGGCGCGGCGGAGCCCGGGUUGGUGGUGAGCGUGGGCGACCUCAAGGGAAUGGUCGGCGACGAAGGCGAUGGAGGAGAGGAUAAGGGGAGCCUCGUGGUUUCGGAGCUCACUAGGGUUUUGGAGCUCUACAGGGGGAGGUUGUGGGUGGUGGGGUGGUCGGCGACCUACGAAACCUACCUCAAAUUCCUAUCCAAGUAUCCAUUAGUGGACAAGGAUUGGGAGCUGCAGCUGUUGCCCAUCACCUCUGUUAGGGCUAGCAACAUGGGCGGAUCCUUCUCCAAGCCACCCAGGUGAGUUCUUUAAUGCUUUCAUAAAAUCCUUCAUUCCAUUAAAGUUUCAUUCUCAGUUCUUAAACAAUUCCAUCUGAUUAUUCUUUUGGGGCAGUUUUGAAUCUCUGAAUUGAUUACUUGUGUGAUUAAGCUCUGUCUUGUUUGAGCAUAUUACUUGGUAGAAGCCUUUUUCACUUUUGGAGCCACACCUCAUGUUUAAGAAAUGGAUUCAAAGUUCUAAAAAAUGUUUCCGCUGUAGCCAUGUACAUGCUUCAGCUUGGCAAAAUCAGCCUUUAUUUCUAUCGUUUAUAUGUGACUAAACUGUUUAGAGAUGUAUUAUAUCUAGAAGGUGAGCGGAUUUCUAUUUGUUAUAUAAUAUUAGCAACUGUAAGAGCCUUACAUAGACUUACAUAUGUGUACCCAAGCAUGCGAGCGUAAAAAUAUGUUGAAGUAUGAUUGUAAUAACAUAUGCUUUUGAAGUGUGCCCGACCGAAGAAGAACACCAAACAGUCAUUCCGGUUAUUCAAAAGGUGCUCCUGUGGAUAAACAAAUACGGAGACUGUAUCACACUCCCAGUUCGUAGAUUAUAGGUGGAGGUCAGUAGAUAUAAAUUCUUUAGCAAGAUUAUUAGCUUUAUUAUCUAUAAUUUUCCAACAUAGCUGUUGACAGAGAAGUGAAUGAAGAAGUCUAUACUGUGGUAAGAAACUGAUAAUUGUUUCCUAUGUUAGACAUCUUUAUCUAUGUUGAAUACAUGAAUAGCAAAAAUGCCUUUGAAAUUAGAUUUUUGCUUGUAGAAUUUGCCAACUAAAAAGGGAUCUUACUGGUAUCUUUGAUGUUCACGGGUUCUGAAUUCUUGUUCGUUGAUUCUCGCAUCAGAUUCCUCUAUUUCCUUUUGGGAAUCAGUACUAUAUUGUUAACUCAUCUUGCUGCUCUGGCUUUAAGCAUUUUAAGCUUUUCCCUUGAAAGCUGCCCCUGUAAAAGCAAUAACCAAUUUUUCAAAAGCUGAAAUAAGUAAAACAAGAAAGAAAACAAAUCACUUUAAGGAAUACUUCUUUAGUCUUUGAAUGAAAUGAUAAAAUGUUAGAAAAGUUGGUUGGUCAUAUUUUUCAUAUGGUCACAUCUUUUGUAUUACAUGAAGAACUCUUCCAUGAGCUGUUGAUAGAAUAUAGUUCUAUUUACCGAGCGAAGUAGCCAAGCAGGUGUUAUAAGCAAGUACAAGCAUGAGAUAAGAAUAACAGAUUAAUCAAAUUUGCUUUAAUUUUGAUAACAUGGAUUAUACUACUAUUUACCGAGCCGAAUAGCCUUGCAAGUAUUAUAUGUGAGUACAAGCAUGAGAUAAGUAAAAAAAAAUAAUCAGAUUUGCUUUAUUUUAAUAACAUGGAGGAAUUUUACAAGGUGGGGAAUUCUUGUGCUAUUAUCUGUGCGCUAACAGUUGCCACCGAUUGCUUUAAUCGAAAACUUACUGUUAUCCUCUUCCUCCAGCUUGAUGGAUUCGUUUGUUCCGUUUGGGGGAUUUUUCCCUUCAACAUGUGAAUCAAAGGGCCUGCCGAGGACUCAGCACUCGUCGGUGCUCCGGUGCCAAAAGUGUCACGACUGUUAUGAGCAAGAAGUCACGGCUAUUCUUAAGGAGUAUUCAUCGGCUUUUGAAGAUCAAGACCAGCCAAAUUUACCUUCCUCCUGGCUUCACAAACCUAAUAUGGUCAACAUUAAUGAUGGAUCAGAUGUGGCGAAGGUGUGUUCACAGAGCAGCUUUUCAUGAUUUCAUGCUUAUACUUUUUGCAGCAAAUACUAUCUGCUAUUUUGGUUGCACUUUUACAUUCUUGGGCGUGUAAACCUGUAUAAGAUCCAACCUUAUUCACAUGUAGUCAUGUACCACUCAAAGGAGCAAUUUCUUACAAAAUUACCUCAAGGGUGUGAAUCAUCCAAUUCAUGGGGGAGAGUUGGUUUCGUAUCGGAAAAUGUUUCUUUGAGGGGCACUUUCGUGAGUACAAGGAUGAUGUUUUCUCAUAGUUUUCAAUGGAAUGUGUGAAACUUCAGACUUUGCAAUGAUGUAUCAUGUAAAUAUGCAAAUGGAAAGUUCAGGGGUGUGCAUGUAUGUAUAAGUAUAAUGCUUGGUAGUAUAUUUAAGCCCAGGUUCUCAAAAUAUUCUUAUCCUAAAACCUUGGUAGUUUUUUUUUUCUUUCCUUUCCUUGUUUGCCUCCCAAAUAACACUUCUCUAGGAGAUUUCUUUUUGUUUUUGUACGUGUAAAAAACAUUCAUUUUUCUUCAGUGCAGGCUAAGGAUGACAAAUCAGUGUUGAACUCCAAAAUCACAGAUUUGCAGAAGAAGUGGAAUGACUACUGCCACCGUGUCCAUCGAGUUUCCCAUAGGCUUGAUGCUGACAACCAUCAAUUCUUUCCACAAUUUGUCGGCGUUACUUUUAUUUCUGAUAGGGAAAGUACCAUUAACCAAAAUGGCAGUAUCACCGCAAGUCCAAGCCAAAGAGACAGUGCCAGCUCAUUACCUUUUGUUCCAGAACCGAGAAAUAAGGAUUUCCUAUCCAAACUUCAUGAGAAAAUCUCAAAAAGCGAACAGCUCGAUUCACCGUCAUCUAUAACAUCGGUAGCAACAGAUUUGGUAUUGGCCACUCCAAAAGAACCUCCUUCCAACGAGGAAGAACAUUCAAAGGAGAAAUCCGGGUUUCUUCAAUCAAAGAAGGCUAGCGAGCUCCUACAGCCUUCAAAUUGUUCUAAUGGUGCUUCUUCCUUUGACCAACAUUGUCGAGCUUCAUCUAUUGUUCAAAAGUUUGAUUUAAGCAAUUACAAGUCACUUUGUGCUGAUCUCUUGGAAAAGGUGGGUCGACAAGAGGAAGCAAUUAGUGCUAUUAGUCGGGCUAUAGUACAAUGGAGAACCAGUGAGAGGCGUCGAGGUGCGAGUGUAAAAGGAGGCAUUUGGCUCAGUUUUCAUGGCCCAGAUAGGGUCGGUAAAAGAAGGGUCGCGAUGGCCCUUGCAGAGUUGGUCUAUGGAAGUAAAGAAAACUUCAUCCCCAUUGAUCUAAGUCGCCUGGAUGGCAUCAAUCGUAGCGACAUAAGUUUGAGAGGGAAGACAAGUGUUGAUCUUAUAGCAGGGGAGAUAAGCAAAAAGCCUUCAUCUGUAAUUUUUUUGGACAGUGUAGAGAAAGCAGACUUCCCGCUUCAGAGCAGCUUAUCCCAAGCUAUCCGAACCGGGAAGUUUCCCGAUUCCUAUGGGCGAGAGUUUAGUACCAAUAAUGCCAUCUUCGUGCUUACUACGAAAAACAUAUAUGGUAAAUCCUUCUCCCCAGGGAUCGAUUGUUGUAAUUUCUCAGAGGAAAGGGUUGUGGCAGCACGGGGAUUGCAGAUGAAGACUUCGGUAGAAUCCGUCCCGGCUAAUGUUAGUGGUAAUAACCUAAAUGGCAAAGUGUUGAUUUCUCCGAGUAAACACGGUAAGAAGCAUGCUUCUUUAAGCUCCGUCUUUGUUAGUAAACGAAAGCUGGAUUUUUCCAGUGACCGAGAGAAAGAGUUUGAUUCCUUGGGGACCGCGAAAAGGGCAAACAGAGCAUCGAAUGCGUUCUUAGACUUGAAUCAUCCUGCCGAAGAGAUCGACUUGAAUGAGACAAGCAGUACCAGCAGCCAUGAGAAUGACUCUUUAUCGGAUGAUUCUGAGAAUUGGGUCGAGAACUUAUUCUCUUCGGUGGAUGAGGCUGUGAACUUUGCGGCUUUCGACUUCGAUGCCCUCGCCGAUGCUAUCAUAAAGGACAUUACUAAGUGCUUUUGUCAAACCAUGGGGUCUAAUUGUAUGUUGGAGAUUGAAGCAAAGGCGAUGGAUCAAAUACUUGCUACAGCAUGGGUGAUGGAAGAUAGAGGAGGUAUAAAUACGUGGUUGGAACAAGUAUUAAGUAGGAGUUUUGUUGAGUUAAAGCCAAGGUAUAAUCUUUCUGGUCCCACUCUUCUUAGACUCAUUACUUGUGAGGACACUUUAAGGGAGGAGUAUGUACCAGGAGGUCUCCUUCCUUCUAGAAUAAUCCUGAACUGACAAUUUAGAGUUUGUUGUAAUUAUGUGUACAAUGUAGAAUUAGUAUUUCUUGUGUGAAAUAAGUGUUAGUCCUGUUAAUCCAAUUAUUUUAUGUUGGGCUUUGGUUACCAGGUUAGUGUGCAUAUUGGACUUGGCCUUUAUCAUCAUAUGGUUUUUGCUUAGACUCUAGUGUUACUCUUUUCUCCUUUUCAUUUUGUUGUUUCAUUUGUUGCAUCUACAUUGAUGUAGGUAUACUAUUACUACUAUUUAUAAUAUUAUAGAAACUCAAAAACUCAAUGAAAUUUGUGAUAGCUAUACUCUUUAUAUCUGAAUCUAAAAAAUUGAAAUACAAAUUCAACAUUACGUAUACCUAUAGAUGGAGUUCCAUGUUUUCUCAGUUUACUUGAAGCACAAUAGAAAGCGCUGAUUCAAUUUAGAUAUAAUUCCUGCGAUUCCAGCCAAAAAGAAAGUAGAAGAGUGUAUCUCUACUCUUUUUAGACCUGUAACAUUAGCUGGCGUCUAUUGUGCUUUCUGGCAGCAACCUGGUGGGUCAUCUGGAUAGAUAGAAACUCGGUUAUCUUUCGGGCCGCAACCCCUAACGCAGUUCGUUCUUUUGAGCGCAUCAACAGAUUGAUAAAUGACUGGAGUCUACUGUGCCAACGUUGAUACCCUACAAGCUGCUCCCUCUUCUUGUUUAAGUUUUACUUUCUUCCUUUUCUUUUUUUCUUUGCUUUCUCCUUUUGCUGCCUUCGGAGGCCCCAGCUGUCCCCAUCUUGUAUGCUUAAUUCAUCCCGCUUUAUAAAUGAAGCGGGUAGCUUUCUACCUUUUCUCAAAAAAACAAAAAAACAUUAGCUGGCGUUAAGCUUGGCAACUUAGAGGUUAUUUAAGAAUUUACUUUGAAAAACUUUGCUUGUUUAGAAUCAUAACGUUACAGCAUCCAUAAGUUAUUUCCUCUACACGAAUAGCAAUAAAUUUUGCAAAUUUUCAUAGAAUUUGAGCUAAGGGCAUUUUUGUUUCGUGGGGCCACAGGAGGGUGGAGGUCGCGAGCUCCAGCUGUACGAUUGAUCUCAACUUCACCCGGGCAGGGGAUGAAGUUUCAGCCUCGUGCCGUACCUGCACUCGUGGAUUGAUGAGAUGGGCGACUUCUGCGCCUGAGAUCCGGCAAAACAAAACACGCCCUAAACUGACCUCAAGUGUGGUUUGAGGUAAACCAGACACUGAGCCAAGUUUUAAAUUUCGGGCUGAGCGCGGCCAACUUAUGUUGUACUUGCUGAUGUAAAACAGGCUUAUAUAUCCUACGCGGCACGACUCUGGGCUUGGCCUAGGCACGGCAUGGAUACUGGAUAACUUGCCCAUGAUACGAGUUUUUUAAUUUUAAAUUUUUAGUAUUUAAAAAACAUCUCUUUGAUUUUGAAAAAAUUCAAACUUUCUAUUAAACCUAUUUUGAUAGGAUGUAUUCUUAUUUUUUAAAUUGGUGAUUUCUCUCAUUACGAUCUUUGAACCCUUCAAAAUUCCGGAUCGGACAUUCGGAUAUUCCGAUCUAGGAAACCCCUUCCGAGUAGGUCCCGACCUAGAACCUCUGGGCCGCGCCAGGACCAGGCAAAAUCCAGAACGGAACCACUCGGGGCUAUGCGGCUGGGUCGUGCCGGCGAUAAUACCUAGCCCGACCCGGUUGCGCUCAUGAUNNNNNNNNNNNNNNNNNNNNNNNNNNNNNNNNNNNNNNNNNNNNNNNNNNNNNNNNNNNNNNNNNNNNNNNNNNNNNNNNNNNNNNNNNNNNNNNNNNNNNNNNNNNNNNNNNNNNNNNNNNNNNNNNNNNNNNNNNNNNNNNNNNNNNNNNNNNNNNNNNNNNNNNNNNNNNNNNNCAACGUAGAGGUUAUUUAAGAAUUUACUUUGAAAAACUUUGCUUGUUUAGAAUCAUAACGUUACAGCGUCCAUAAGUUAUUUCCUCUACACGAAUAACAAUAUAUUUUCCAAAUUUUAAUCGAAUUUGAGCUAAGGGCAUUUUUGUUUCGUGGGGCCACAGGAGGAUGGUGGAGGUCGCGCGAGCUCCAGCUGUACGAUUGAUCUCAAUUUCACCCGGGUAGGGGACGGAGUUUCAGCCUCGUGCCGUACAUAGAGUCAGAGUCGAUUCUCGUAGGCCUCCAACCGCUCCCCACGUCCAAUUUCCAAACUUGUAGGUCGCCUUCAAACGCCUGCACUCGUGUCUCGUGGAUUGAUGAGAUGGGCGACUUCUGCGCCUGAGAUCCGGCGAAACAAACACGCCCUAAACUGACGUCAAGUGUGGUUUGAGGUAAACGAGACGCUGAGCCAAGUUUUAAUUUCGGGCCGAGCGCGGCCAACCAUGUUGUACUUGCUGAUGUAAAACAGGCUUAUAUAUCCUACACGGCACGACUCUGGGCUCGGCCUAGGCACGGCAUGGAUACUGUAGUACUCGCGUUGGCCGAGCCCGAUCCAUAAUAGCGGCCGUGCUGGGUCGGCGUCUCGGGGCUCGCCAAGGCAAGACCUAAAACGGACCAGGACCGCGCCGGGUCUCCAAGAUCCAGCCCUGGAUGGGCCUUCCCCCAAAAGGAUCUAGCCUUAGGCUUAUAGGCUUGGCCUUAAAACUUUCCUUUCUCCCAAGUUUCUAUCAUUACUCUCUCUAGUGGUUAAAUUUUUUAUUCUUAUGUGGGAUAGUUUUAUCCAAAUUUAUCUUUAAAACUUAAAAAAGUUUUAGUUUCUCUACAAAAAAUUUAAUGAUUUUUAAAUUUUAAUUUUUUGAGCAUAGUACCUGUUCAAUAGUUGGAAUAUAUAUAUAUAUAUAUAUAUAUGAUAUAAUAUAUAUACAAUAUAUACGAUAUAUAUAUAUAUACAAAACUUGCAAAAUAAAUAUUAUUAAGCGAGCAUGAACUUUGGGUCCAAACGGCACGGUCCGAAUUUAGAACCAGGCCGUAUCGGGCUCGCCCUCAAAUCUGAAGACGCACGGUUGCGGUCCAGCACAGGUCUCGUACUUUUAAUUAAUAAUAAUAAAUAAAAUUUUAUUUUUAUUUAUUUAUUCAUUUAUUUUAGAUCGACGGUGGUGGUGGGAUUUGUGGGAGCGAGCGAUCUCCUUCUCCCUCACCCCUCUCUCUCUCUCUCUCUCUCUCUCUCUCUAUAUCCUCGCGAAACUCUCGAUCUCCGAUUCCACCAUUUUUGUGGGAGAGCGAGCUCCCGCUGCUCCUCCUCCAUUAAUGGACAUGGUCUCCAUCUCCUCCGCCCCCCGCUCCGUCGAGGACAUCUUCAAGGACUACUCCUCCCGCCGCUCCGCCCUCGUCCGCGCCCUCACCGCCGGUGAGCUCCACCCCCCCUACCUCUCCCGAUCUCUUCUCGUUUCCUCUCCUCGCUCAUCGUCUCCGAUCUCCCCUUGUUGUUGCUCCCAGAUGUCGAGGAGUUCUACGGGUUGUGCGAUCCAGGUGCGAUCUCGAACCCCUGAGGAUCUGAUCUGGUGUUUAGGUUUUGUGUUCGAUGCUGAGAUUUUGCCUGGGUUUGGGGUGUAGAUAAGGAGAAUUUGUGCUUGUAUGGGCACCCGAGUGGGGCGUGGGAGGUGACGCUACCGGCGGAGGAGGUGCCCCCGGAGCUGCCCGAGCCGGCGCUCGGGAUCAACUUCGCGAGGGACGGGAUGAACCGCAAGGACUGGCUCUCGCUCGUCGCCGUGCACAGCGACUCGUGGCUCCUCUCCGUCGCCUUCUUCUUUGGGGCGCGGUUGAACGGGAAUGAGAGGUAUACACUGAGGGAUUUAGGGUUUCUAAGCUGAUCCUGUUUUGGAUUAAGCUUUUUAAUUUUGUGUCCCUAUGUUUUUCUGGGUGUUUUACUGCUUCCCCCACCCUACUGUUAUAUUGCUUGUUCUCUGCUAUUAUGGUACAUUUAUAUUCUAUGGUAGCAAUGUCAUGUGAUAUAUGAUAGAAAUUUCACAAAUAGUUGCCAAACAACAACGAAUUACACCAAGGGAUCAUAAGAAACUAAUGCAGAGAGAGGAAAAAGUGAUAUAUGUAGAUCAGCUUUCUGUUUAUGUCCUUGGGGAGAUCGAGAGAGAUGGAUUUGUUUUAUGAGAUUGAGACAUUGAGUUAAAUGUCACCAUUGUGCUUUUAUCUCACUUAAAAUAUACGACAGUGUAUGUUGAAAUAACCGUUUUCCUGCUACAAAGAACAGGAAGUCAUGCUCAUCUCGGCGAUGCUGCUUGGUGAAAUAACCAUUUUUUUUAUAUGUUCCUUAGUUGCCUACCAUUCUGAUUGAUGAAAUUUUAAUACUCUUAUAGUAAUAAUGUAAAAUUGUCCUUUUACUGUAAGAAGAAUUGACGAUCGCACAACAUGUUAGAGGCGGUUUUGCAUUUCAAUCAUCCAAAUUAAAUUAUAUGCACUCCAGCCUCAUCAUUAUGAUUACCCUUUCUUAUUGAUAAUAGAUCCGAGAUACUUUGCAUAUUUUGAAUCCUUUUGUUCUUUCUCUACUUUUCUGAAUUAACAGUCGAUCCUAUAUCAAAUUUACAAGUGAAAAUGAUGACUAAAGCAAAUAACAUGAACAAGAAAACCUCAUCAUUAAGUAUCUUGGCUUGAAUUCAUUUAUAAUCAUUGAAAAUAAAAGAAGCUUAGGUUUAGUCUAUUAUUGUUUGGUGAAUCUUAAUGCAACUCUAUUGCUGUAUGAGAUCAAUCUUGUCUCGGCUUCCAUUACCCUCCCACAAUCUUAGUGUUGUUAUAAUUGUCCUUGAUUGCAUCUACAUAUGAGGCAUAUCUUUCUACUGUUAGAUCAAUUAGAGUGGAAACUGGUCUGAUAUUGCUUAGAUUUUGACUUGUCAGGCCAAGUGUGUUUCGCGUAAUACAAAGGUUCAAAACUAUUAUCUAGACAUGAACUACAGAAGCUUGAAGGCUGUUUUGUUAGAACAGAUCUUAUGUGCCUAAUUAUGGUUAUGCACUAGGCGUUAGAUGAAACCUCUUGGAAGGGUGAAAUGAACAUGUCAACAUGGUUGGUUACUAACAAAAAUCACUGCCUAUGCAUUCAGAAUGCUGCCUUUCCAUGAAGGUAUUGUGAUGGUAAUGAGAGUUGAGAGGUAUGGCCCCCGCUAGUAACUAGGUUAUUGCACUCAUCUAGGUGUAGCAGUAUGUCUAUAUUUAGAGUGAUUUCUCUGUAUAAAGAAUGAUAGAAUAGCUAAAGGAAUAGGCUUGCUGGUCUUUUGUGUUCUGUCUUGGUGGGCUUAUAAAGACGACUAGUUAGCUAGCAAAUGGAGGGCAGUAAGGGCUUAUCUUAGCUUCCAAAGAAUUAGAUUGUUGCAUUAUUCUCCAAGUUGGUCAAAUUUUCCAAUAUUUCAGAUUAAAAUAGCCGUAUCUGUCCCUAAAGAUGCUUAAAAUUACCUUGUUAUUAGAGAUGUUCAAUCCUUGAGAAUGGUAGUGUAGAUAUCACAGACUAUCGUUUUGUGGUCAUUACACUUAUAAUGUUGGUCAUAAUUGCUACGAUAUUACUUUUUCUAUUUGUGAAAUAGGAGGAGGAAAUGCAUGUGGUGAUGUGUUUCUAAUGAAAUUGUUGCUUUGAUUUAUUAUCUUGUAUGUCUAAACUGUAUUGACACUUAUCUAUGAUAACCUUUUAAGAACAGAUGUGUGACUGCUUGAAGCACUUUUCAUUGUGGAUUUUUAGUUAUCCAAGUUGCUUUUAUGUUCUAAUAAUUUGUUGAAUUAUUUUGAGUAGUUUGACAGUUUGAUCACUAAAUAUAAACAUUUAUUGCAUGGUUCACCAUUAUCCCGUAUUCAGUUAUGAUAUGAUUCUAUAGGAUUCAUCCAGUCUCUCAUUAUUUCUUUGCUAUUGUAAGGUCAGAAGAACUUGCUCUUAUAUGUUGAGGUGUCAUCUUCACUGGCAAAAUCAUAAAAUGCAUGCGGACACCUUUCCAACUUCCACACUUUUUGCAAACCGAGCUCUGAACACUUAAAAUUUGAAUGUACCCACUAACUUCAUCUACAGUGCAAUUGAUCCUUCCGUACAAUUAAAAUUAGUUUCCUUCCUCUUUUCAACAGUGAACUACAUUUUCAAGGUCAAACCAGUUUGUAGCGGUUCAAAAGAAUCAAGUCCUCAGGAUUUACUUGCACGGAACAAUAUGUUAAUUUGUCAGAUUUAAUUAGCCUCCCAUAUGUAUAGGCUGUGUAACUAGAGUCUAUUGGAGCCUUACAUAGACUCUGGCGUAAUGAGCCUUUGAUAUGGGGUUUUACCAUUUGACCCGUGAAUUAAUAUUUCUAGUUACACCAGUGCAACUAGCUUAUCUAAGUGUCAGUUGAACACUCGCUCCAUUCAUGCUCUCGCUCUUUAUGACUGGCAGGAAACGGUUAUUCAGCAUGAUCAACGACCUUUCUACUGUCUUUGAAGUGUUGGCUGAUAGAAAGCAGGGGAAAGAUAGAUCCGGCGUAGAUAGCGGGAGCAAAUCCAGACACUCUACUAAGGUGAAAUAACUUACAAGUGGUUAAUAUAGUUCAGCUAAAUUACACAAACCCACUUACACCUCUUGUAAUUUUUCACUUUCCUCCCCUGAAAUGUUGAAACAUUUUAUAUUUCCAUCUUAAACUAAAGAUUUCAUCACAUUCCUCCUUUAUCAGUGUUCCACAAGGUGAUAUCUAUCACUUUGCUCAUAGGUCUAUGGGUCAAAUGUAUGGCUCUAGAAGGAUACACAUAUAAGGGCUUCUUUCAUUUUAUCUUUAUUGUUUUUCCUUUUGACAUCAUAAUUGUAACAGAGAUCGAGUGACGGACACACGAAGAACAGUUCAAGAGCAGUCAACGAAGGGUACGGCGAGGACGACGAAGAGCACAACGAAACCCUCUGCGGAAGCUGUGGUGGAAACUACAACUCGAACGAGUUCUGGAUCGGGUGCGAUAUAUGCGAGAGGUGGUACCACGGGAAGUGUGUGAAGAUAACCCCCGCGAAAGCCGAGACCAUACAGCAAUACAAAUGCCCUAGCUGCAGUUCCAAGAAAGGGAGGCAGUAACUACGCUCACACUACCGAGUAUCUACUGCUUUCUUUUUUUUCUUUAGUUUUAGGAAGUAAAUAUUUAUCAGGUAACGGAAAUGGCGCCAUGUUUUGCGGUAAUGGAUCUCUCGCGUGUGAUCAUCGAUAUGGUUGUUUCGACAUGUGGACCUCAUUCUAUUGAUAGUUUACAUCUUUAUAUGUAGAUUGUCUUUCUUUCUCUGCAAUUUCAUGCCUUGGUUUUGCCGGAUUUUUUAUGGUGCAUUCACUGAAUAAUUUGCUGAAUGAGCGUGUUAUGUGAGUCGUUAUGUUUCUAAUUAUCAUUGUUUAAAUUAUGAUAGACACGAUUAUUCGAUCAUAAAUAAACUGCUUAAGAAACUUGACACUUCUAAAAUUUGAAAUAUUUAUAUAUAUAUAUAUAUAUAGAGAGAGAGAGAGAGAGAGAGAGAGAGAGAGAGAGUAAAGUUACUGUGCUAUUAGGACCUUUAUGUUCCUAACUUCUUAACUUUCUAUCAAUUUUGCUGGGUGGUUAGAAUGAGAGAAAAAAGAGAAAUUAUAGAGAAAUUUUAAAACAAGAUAAAUCGAAAUGCUCAAUUUCUUCCAAUUUUUCUUAUUUUUUUAAUCCUAGUUAUUUAUCAAAAUUGAUAAACGGUUAGAAAGUUAGGAGUACAAGAAUUGCUGUGCUCCUAAUAACACAGUAGUUUUGCGCUUUCUCUCUCUCUCUACAUAUAUAUAUAUAAGAUAUAAAUAGUUAUCAUUUUGGAUACUCAUUAAGUCGAAAGAAUUAAGAAAGUCGAGCACAUUAAAAACGGAGUAGCUUUAGAACAGAUGAACUUCUGAAAAGUGGGUCACCAAAAAAAAACUCAAAAAAUACUAAAACAUUAUAGAACUUAUUCCGCUUGAAACUGUCAAUGGAGAAGCACAUCUAGAGAAGCAUGGCGUAUGCUUCUACCUCAGAGCUAGCUAGGUUUCCACCAGCAUCUCAAAGUUUUUGAAAAGACGAAGACUCCAAAACAGUAACCAGCAUCUCAAAGUUUUUUUUUUUUUUUUUUUUNCCUGCAGCAAAUACAACAUGGCCUAAAUUAGUACGAGCUAUAUAACCAAUAGCGGCAGUGCCUUCUUCAGACUUGAAGGACGCAUCGGUGUUAAUUUUAAUCCAACCAUCUGGUGGCGGACACCAUUUGUUGGCGUUCGAGUGUUCAAUAGUGUGCGAAGGGACUUUAGAAAUAUAAUCCAAAGUCAUAUGCAUGAUAUGGCGCAAUAUGACCUGGAUCGAAGAGGAAUUGUUAGAGAAUUGUCUGGCAUUUCGUUCCUUCCAGAUUUGCCAAAAAGUGUUGGCUAUCAAGGUGCGGAUAAAUUGUUGCUGGACCACCGCCAGAUUUUUACCCUCAUCAAUCCACUCCUCAGUAAUCCAGUCGCCAUUGAAAGAAAACAAAAUGCCAGUAGACGACAUAACGGCAUCCCAAAUUCUUCUAGCAUUUAUGCAAUCCAAAAAGAUAUGAUUUUGAUCUUCCGGAGUGGAGCAAUAAAUGCAAAAAGGAGACGGGGCUGAAUUAAGUGAGUAACAUCGCUCAUUAGUAGGUAGCCUAUUCCAGAGGAGUUUCCAUAAAAAGUUCUUAACACGAGGAGCAACCGGUAAGGACCACAACACUUUCCACUUGGUCGCUUGAGGGACAUAGAAACCUUGAUUUAUGUGAUGGUAGCUAGGUUUAAGACAUGGAAACCUAGCUAGCUAGGGACAAAGAAUUUGAGCUAGCUAGGUUUCCACCAGCAUCUCAAAGUUUUUGAAAAGACGAGACUCCACAACGAGUUCACAUUUUCUAGAUUCUUUAAGACAUUGGAGUGGACUGACAAGGCCGUAAAAGUUUUGCUCUCUAAAAAAACGUGCCCUUAAUUAGUUCAAAUUCUUUGCGCAUCUUAUCUUCGCCUUAUCUUAUCUGCGGCGAAGAACAGCUGCUAGACACAGACAUUAAAAGUCUCUCAUAUGCAUGUUUCUUAUAGAACAAUAUCCAGUUUUGACUUUUGCUUGAUCUUCAUAUCAUAAAAAAGUAUCAGAAUAAAUUUUUUCUCAUUCUCUUAAAACGUUGCUUUAAUAUAAAUUUACUAUAUUGCUUUACACGACCUAAUAAGAUUGUAGUUUUUUGAAAUAAACGGACAGAAUAAGGAGACCUUCCAGCAAGAUAUAAGCUAGACUAAACUACAUUUAUAGCCCUUAAAGUUCUUAAACUUUAAUUUAUUAUAAUUUCUAACUAAGACUUUCAAUAUUAAUACAUUUAAAUUCUACAAUCUAAAAUAUAGACUUAUACCCGAUAUGACGAUAAAAUGACUGAAGACGUUAUAAUGAUUAAGAUAUCACAUUAUUGAUAUAUCAGCGACACAUAAGCGCCCAAUCAAAUAAAUUGAACGAUAGAAAUAAAUUAUAACUAUCCAAAUCGUCUGAACUAAAAGUUAUAAUAAUAGAUUAAAAUUCAAAAACUAAAGCCCCAUAUCUAACUUUAAAACCAAAAAAAGCAUAAAGAUUAAAAAAAAAAAAUGAAAAAAAAGAACAAGAACAAGAUGUGAUGGGCAUGCACGCGCGGAUGAGAAUGGAAUCAAUUUUCUUUUGAGGCGUUUGCCGUGCCCAACAACUCGUCCAGUUAUUACGCACUCAGCGGAGUGCGCGCGAGAGCUCUAAAGUUCGUAUUUCUUUAUAAACAACAACUUAGUCGAAAAAAAAAAAAGGGGAUAGAGGAUAAAACCCCACGUGAGUUAUUAAAAUUAAAAGCUCAUAGAAAACGAGGACAAAAAUUCUAUGGGCACCGGCCCCAAAGUACUUAAUUUGGGGCCUGUCCCCGAUGGGCGCCACAUGGCACAGGUGCCACGCGGCGUCCAUCCUCCACUGCUCUCCUAAUACGAGAAGAGCAGUGGAAAUUCCGGGCGCACGUGGUGCAUCUAUGCUAGGUGCACCAUAAAAUUAUUUUUUGAUUUUUAUUACUUUCAAUUUUUUUUUGAAACCAAAUAGAGUGUAAAAUUUUAACUUCUAUACGGUAACUCCUAAAAAAAUAAAUAAAUUACUACAUAAAAUUGUAAUUUAAAAAAAUUAAAAAUUAAAAAUUAAAAAUUAAUUUUACGGUGCACCUAGUAUAGAUGCACCAGGUGCAUUGGGAAUUUCCAUUGCUCUUCACGUGUUGGGAGAGCGAAAAAUUCUAGAAUGCAACGGCGUAUAUUGGUGAUGUAGCGUACUAACCAAUCAAAAAUCUCCUUUUAAAGAUAUAUGUCCCAUUAUGAUUAUAAAAUAAAUAAAAGAAGAAAGGUGAUUAGUUUGUUAUUGAUGAUGUGGUGUAAGUGUGAUAGUGUAGAAUUUCUCCGAAAGAACAGUGGAGGAUGGAGCUUGUGCCAUGCGGCGCCCAUCGGGGACCGGCCCCAAAUUAAAAUUUUUGUCAGAAAAGGAGAGCUCGGAGGAGGAGAAAUUUUGCUCUGCGGCGGCGCCUCCUCCGUGUUCACGCGUGCUACUUAACCGAUUCCUUUUUCUUUUUUCUUUUUUGUUUGUCACUUUUUUUUUUUUUUUUUUUACUUUCUUUCUUCUUCCUUCGCUUUUUCGUCUCGUCUUUGUUUUGGAUGCUCGCACGGAAGUAACGAAAGAGACAAUAGAAUAGCUGAUGAAAAUCCAUGUCGAUCGUUACGAAUAGCGGAUAAAAAUUUAUGUCAUUAUAAGGCGGAAUGUGGAAAUUGUGAACUCAAUCAAAACAUUUGAAACUGUGGGAACUUCAAAAAGGGAGGUACAAAAAGUAAGACUUUAAUUUCAGAGCAAUGUCAGGUCUACAAUCUAUUUUGGAUUGUAUUUCUGUAAUUUACCGACCGUCCAUAGCGCAAGUGACAAAAGGGUUUGGUGGUUGAUACCCGAGACCCAAAUUCGAAUUCUAGUUGAUUCACAUUUCUAGCUAAGUUUAUUUCUAAAUGAAAUAAACGAAGCGGGUAGCAUGCUAUCUUUCUUUCAAAAAACAAAAAAAAGUAUUUCUGUAACUUGGUCCACUAAAGCCAAGUUUACUGCACUAACCUUAUCACUCUUUUAUUAUUAUUAUUAUCAUCAUCAAUAGCCAAGAAAUUAAGGUCGGCUAAAUUUUAGAGGCCAUUGGAUGAGGGGUUACAGAGAUUACAAUUUUUGAUUGUAGACUUAUUAUUAUUAUUAUUAUUUUUGAGAAAUAGAUAGUAAGCUACAUGCUUCAUUCAUUAAGUCAAAUAAACUGAGUGUACAAGUUGGAAGCAAUUUAGGCCUCCGAGUAAGUGGCAAAAAGGUCAAAAAAAAAAAAUCUAAGCAUGGUAGACUUAUUAAUUAUUACUCUUUAUUUUAUGAGAUCCAAAGCAACACUCCUGUUAUACUUUGAGAGCUGCUCUGCUGCUUCCAGAAUUUCGCGCAUUUUCCUCAUUUUGCAAGGUGAUAGGGUUUUCGUUGGUGACGUGACAUAUUGUAUGUCCACUUUCUCUUACACGCGACCAAAUAUACGCUGUGCAUAAUUUUUUUUUUUUUUUUUUGAGAGAUAGGUAGCACGCUACCCGCUUUGUUUAUUUCAUUAAAAAAUAAAUUUAGUUAGAAAUAUGAAUCAAUUAGGAUUCGAACUUGGGUCUCGGGUAUCGACGACUAAGCCCUUUGCCACUUGCUCUAGAAACGGUCGGUACGCUGUGCAUAAUUAUACGGGUGAAUCAUAUGACUCACCAAAUUGUCUUAAUGACAGCUCGUUGAGAAGCUUUCCAGCAAAGUUGCGCUCCCCAAAGACAUCAUGUGGCCUCAAUUGAGAUCGUUAAACUUACUGUCUACCAUGUAAAAACACACGAAUCGCAAAGCAAUAUAAAUAGUACAUUAAAUAAUAAUCCUAAAAUGCAUGAAAACAGUUUUCGUGUGUAUAUAUAUAUAUAUAUAUAUAUAGAGUCCGUCUCCCGUACUUUCGAAAGUACGGGAGGCCCCGUGGUUGUAAGUUGUUUUCGAUGAUAGGACGUUCGAUUCGACGAUCGGCUCCGUUAGGAAUGAUCUACCCUAUUGGAACUAUCUAGAAACCAAAUUUUAGAUUUUUUUGGCAUCAUUUACUAAGCGAUCAAAAGGUCUAAAAAAAGACUAUUUUAACGGUAGAUGUGGCACAUUUUUAAGUUCAACGGUGUAGAAGUAUCCAAAUUACAUGAAAAUUUAAUAGAAAAUUCUACUUAACAUCAGUAGCAAGAUCAAUACUUCCGAUUUAAAAUUUGAAUCCUUUAUCACUGUUUUUUAUGAGAUUUUCAUUUUCAGCCGUUCAUUUUGAGGCUACUCGUUCACUAGACAAACGAAAUCAAAAAAUUAUGAAAUUUGGUUUCUAGAUAGUUCCAAUAGUGUAGAUCAAGUUUAACGGAACCGAUCGCCAAAUUGGAUGUCCCAUCAUUGAAAACAACUUACAAGCACGGGGCCUCCCGUACUUUCGAAAGCAUAGGAGCCUAGCUCUAUAUAUAUAUAUAUAUAUAUAUAUAUAUAGGCUUUGUCUAAUUAGCUUGGUUAAUUCUCAAGCAUCGAAGCUAACUAACCCAAUUAGUCGAGUUUCCCUACAUUAAUAAAAGUUCAAAUUGAAGGCUCAAUCUUAGACGUCCAUUAUUGAUGCCGACAAGCUAGGCUCGGAAUCAAUGGAGAAGUGAGACCGGGCGAAAUCGGGUGGAAUAACGCGAAUUGAGGCCCAGUACAUUGAUAUGGUUCUGAUUUGGAUGCGAUAAUUAAAACAACGGUCACAUGCAGUUUCAUGCACGAGAGUCUGUUUUCAAAUGUGCAUUCUGCACGUGUUGAACUGUUAUGGCCAUUCCGGUUCUGGCUCAGUUUGGUACCCAAAUGAUAGAAUAAUAAUCCAAACUUAAUUAAAAUAUAAUUAGAGAUGAGUUUAAAUCUUUUAUUUGAUUAUGAUUAGGAUUUGUAGUUAUCUAAAGUAAAAAUUAGACUUAUCAUUUGUUAUGAUUUAAUAGCUAUAUAUAUAUAUAUAUAUAGUUAGAUAUGGAUUAAUUAGAUGAACAAGCUAGUCACAACAGACAUGAUCACUAUAUGAGUGUUGCUCAGGGUGUAUUUAAAUGCUUUUUAUUAAUAAAGUAUUUGAUUAUUUAUUUUCUUCGUCCUCCAAUAUCUCUUCUUUAUAUUAUUCUGUUUUAUUUUUAAUCUUGUGUUACAUAAUCGGUAUUGGUAGAAAUACGAGUUCGAACAAUUGGUAUCAGAGCAAAUCACGCUUCCAACAAUUAGUAUCAGAGCUAGAAAGUAUCAUGCGACUUCUUAACAGGACGACAACAGAUUCGAAAAGAAUAUAGAACCAAUGUACCAGAUAGCUACGUCAAAAUCAAGCUAUACUUGUAGCAGAUUAACGAAGGUGACGUUCAAGUGAAGCCGAAACAAAAAAUCACUUCGAAGAAGUUAGCCUCCACAUGACACACAAGAGGUGGUUGUGACUCUUGACGAAAAGAUAGCGAGGAGAGCCCGUGAAGAGAUCAAAAAAACUUGACCAGAUAACCUGGAGGGCCAGGUAAGCAAGCCGAAAUAAGAAAAACUUGGCUAAAUCUCGAUAGAACGUUAAUAUAUCAGAACGGUACAUGUCUGAAAUUUAAUUUUUGAAUUUUCAAGUUUCGUUAUGAAUUUAGAUUGGUUUAUAUUCAACCUGCUGUAUCAAAAUUCGAUGGAAUGAACUUUAAACGAUGAAAAAUCAUUAUUCGAUAUUUUUUAGAAUAUCAAGAUUUGUGGGGUGUGGGGAUAAUAAAAAUUAUAAAAAAGAAUUUAGUAAAGAAGACAGAAAAGUUUUGUCAUUUAUUUUUCAAGCAGUAGAUCUGUCAUUGGUUGAAAAUAUUUCAAUAGCAAAGAUAGCACGUGAAGCAUGGAGAAUACUAGCAAAAAUUAGAGGAGAUGAUUUGCAGUAAGAAAAUGAAAUUUAGGAAGAAGAAAAAAUUCAACCCAACAGUGAAUAUCCAGAAACCCUAAUUUGCAAAGAAUUUUGGAAAAUUUUUUUUGAUCAAAAUUAAAAAAAAGAUCAAAUUUGUGAAAAGUAUGUUACUGAUCAAAACGGUGCAACUUAGAUCGACGAGAAAGUUCACAAUGAUGAUUAAAAAUUUUUCUAUUGAUGAAAUAAUUACGUAUCAACUCAAAAAGUAAGUUGACUCUUUUUAUAAUGUGAAUGAAGAAAAGAAAAAAGCAGACGGAAAAAUAGAAUUAAAAGUACAAAAUUUUGGUAUGGUGCAAGACGUACACAUUGAAACCAGUGAAUCCAAAAUAUCAAAUCCAAAUAUCUAUAGGAACCUACAUGUCUUUAAAAGGAUGAUUCAAAUAUCUGGAACCUGCAUGUCUUUAAAAGGAUGAUGUGAAUAAUCAGGAUUACAGAUGGUAAAAAUUCUGUGCAUGGCAACAUUGGACAUACUUUAUGCUGCACAACUCAAACACGAUGACAAGAACAAUGACGGAGAUUGCAAAAUCAAAUGCUCAUUUCACGGAAUUUAUGAUUUGAAGAUAAAAUUUGGAUUAAGGGAGGAUGUUAAAAUAAUAAUUUAAACUUAAUUAAAAUAUAAUUAGAGAUAAGUUUAAAUCUUUUAUUUGAUUAUGAUUAAGAUUUAUAGUUAUCCAAAGUAAAAAUUGGAUUCAUUAUGUUAUGCUUGAUAACUUCUAUAUAUAUUAAUAUUAUAAAUACUAAUAUAUAUAUUAUAGUUAGUUAGUAAGUAGUUUUGAUUAAUUAGUUAUGAACAAAACAUGUACAUGAUACUGGGUGUCUCAGGUAUGAUAUGUAUUUAAAUUAUUUUUAUUAAUAAAGUAUUGUUAUUUAUCUUCUUCCUCCUUCAAUACUCUUCUUCAUAUUAUUUUGUUUUUAUAAUUCUGUGUUACAUAAUCAGUUUAGUAUAAUACCAGUUCCAACAUUGGUAUCAAAGCAAAUCAUGCUUCAAAUUGGUAUCAAGGAGUUGUUAUUUAUUUUCAAGGUAGAUCAAUAAAGAAUAUGAGUAUUUUAGUAUAUUUUUUUAAGCAAAUAAUAUUGCUUUCGAAAAGUUAGCUCACACUACAAAAGAGUAAGAGGUGGUUGUGACUCUUGACAAAAAGAGAGCGAGGAGAGCCCGUGAAGAGAUAAAAAAAAAACUUGACCAAAUAACCUGAAGGGCCAGGCAAGCAAGUCGAAAUACGAAAAACUUGGCUAAAUCUCGAUAGAACGUCAAUAUAUCAGAAAGGUACAUGUCUGAAACUUAAUUUUUAAAUUUUUAAAUUUUGUUAUGAAUUUAGAUUGGUUUAUAUGCAACCUCCCUUAUCAAAAUUCGAUGGAAUGAACUUUAAAGGAUGAAAAAUCAUUAUCCGAUAUUUUUAGAAUCUCAAGAUUUGUGGGGUGUAGGGGAGAAUAAAAAUUAUAAAAAAGAAUUUAGUAAAGAAGACAGAGAAGUUCUAUCAUUUAUUUUUCAAGCAGUAGAUUUGUCAUUUGUUGAAAAUAUUUCAACAGCAAAGAUAGCACGUGAAGCGUGGAGAAUGCUAGCAAAAAUUGGAGAAGAAGAUUUGCAGGAACAGAAUGAAAUUUAAGAAGAAAAAAAAUUCAACCCAACAACGAAUAUAUAGAAGCCCUAAUUUGCAAAGAAUUUUGGAAGAAAAAAUCUGAUCAAAAUUAUGAAAAGAUCAAAUUCGUGAAAAGUAUGUUGAUGGUCAAAACGGUGCAACUUAGAUCGACGAGAAAGUUCACAAUGACGAUGUGAUUAAAAAAUUUUCUGUCAAUGAAAUAAUUACGCAUCAAAGAGUAACUUGACUCUUUUUAUAAUGUGAAUGAGGAAAAGAAAAUAGCACACCAAAAUGUAGAAUUUGAAAUACAAAAUUUUGGCAUGGUGCAAGAUGUACACAUUGAAACCAGUAAAUCCAAAAUAUCAAAUCCAAAUAUCUAUAGGAACCCACAUUUCUUUAAAGAUGACGUGAGUAAUCAGGAUUACAAGUGGCAAAGAUUCUGUGUAUGACAACAUUGGACAUUCUUUAUGCUGUACAAUUCAAACACGAUGACAAGAACAACGAUGGAGAUUGCAAAAUCAAAUGCGCAUUUCAAAGAAUUUACGAUUCGAAGAUAAAAUUUGGAUUAAGGGAGGAUGUUAAAAUAAUAAUCCAAACUUAAUUAAAAUAUAAUUAGAGAUAAGUUUAAAUCUUUUAUUUGAUUAUGAUUAGGAUUUGUAGUUAUCUAAAGUAAAAAUUAGAUUUAUCAUUUGUUAUGACUUGAUAGCUAUAUAAAUGUAGUUAGGUAUGGAUUAAUUAGAUAAAUAUAUAAACAAGCCAUAGUAGACAUGACUGCAUGAGUGUUGCUAAGGUUGUAUUUAAAUGUUUUUUAUUAAUAAAGUAUUUGAUUAUUUAUCUUCUUCCUCCUUCAAUAUCUCUUCUUCAUAUUAUUUUGUUUUAUUUUUGAUCCUAUUUUAUAUAAUCGAUAUCAGCAUAAAUACCGAUUAACUGGAGCAAAUCACGCUUUCAACACCAAAUUUAAUCAUUUAGUCUCUCAAUUUGCAGUUUUAGGUUUUAUUUAAUUAAUUUUGAGAAUGUUAUUUUGUUCUUUUUAUUAUUUCGAGUUUAUAUGAGAGUUUUAUAAUAUGCAUGGCUGAUUAGUAUUAGACUUAAAUUAAUUUAAUAUUUUUUUGUGCUUCAUUAGAUGAGGGCCUCUAUAUAGAGGCUGAUUAGAUAUUUAUAAAGACUUUUAGGAUAAUCCUUGUAUUUCCUUCGUUUCAAACACUACCACCUGUGUCAAUUACUCAAAUAAAAUAAAUAAUAGAUCAAGGCGCGAAUGGUUUGAGAGAUUGUAAAUUAUAAUAGAAACACAACUUAAUUUGUAAAGUACGUCGACACAAACAGUAAGACGCGCGGCUAUCGUGCAACACGUGAGCGCGGCCAAAAAGAACAGGGAGGUGACAAUUUCAUGGUUUGUGAUUCAACUUUGAACUGUUCAUGGCUUCGCUCCUUUUGCCCUAGAAAUUAAUGUACGAGGAUUCACACUUUUAGUGAUUUUGAUUCAUGUACCUUGUUAGUCACAUGAUGAUCUGCGGAGCGUACUAUGUUCAAUGAUUUUGUUUCAAUCCAUGCAAUUUCAAUUUGACUAAUGUUACUAAUAUUCUUUUGUUCUUUAAUCUUUAAUUAAUUUGUAAUCAUAAGUAGUCCUUGGAUCAAAUACUAUUUCACCUAUCACUUCUCAACUCAAGUGGACUACUAUCAUCCUAGCCCUACAACAUCUCCAUCCAAGGGCCACAAAUUUAAAAACAACAAUCCCUUUGUACUAUCGAUAGCACGAAGUAUUUGGUGCUAUCAAAUUUUCUGCCGUUAGAUUUAGCUCUUCUAUCAUUUUCAUCUGUUUGAUUACACUAUUCAACUAACCACCCACUCAACCCUAGAGGGUCCACCUCAUCUAACCGCACAUCUUUCAAAUCAAGGGCAGAAAACUUAAUAGCACCAAGUUAUUAAUACUAUUAAUAGUAUUCCGGCCUACUUAUAUAUAUAUAUAUAUAUAUAUAUAUAUAUAUAUGUGUGUGUGUGUGUGUGUGUGUGUGUGUGUGUGGGAUGAUUGCGGUCCCCCUAGGUUUUGACAAUUGGAUCAAAAAUUAUACGGUUGGGAUGAUUGCGGUCCCCCCAGGGUUGAGUUGUCCCCACAGGUUAAUAGUAUUAAUCUAAAUGUUAGAAAUGAUUGAAGGGGUUGAUCUAAGGGUCAAAAAAUCGAAAGUACUAGAUCCUCUAUACUUCCGAUAGCAUAAUAGCUCUACUAUAUAUAUAUAUAUAUAUAGAGAGAGAGAGAGAGAGAGAGAGAGUUUAGCUACAAUGCUCUCAAAAGCACCAAGGGGGUGGUGCUUUUGAGUUUUUAACCAUUGGAUUGAGAGAUAUAGGGUUGAGAUGAUGGUGAUAGGUAGUGGUAGGUGGAAUAGUAUUUGAUCCAAGGGGUAUUAGUAAUUAAGGAGUCGAUCCAAGGAUUAGAAACUUAGAAGCACCAAGGGAUUGGUGCUUCCAAAAGUAUUCUAGCUCAAUUUUAUAUAUAUAUAUAUAUAUAUAAAAUUGAACUCCUAUGUUUUUGAAAGUAUAAGUUACUGGUGCUUAUAGAUUUUUUUCCAUUGAAUUAAGGAAUGUGCGGUUAGAAAGAUGUGGGACCCCUAGGGUUGAGUGGGCAAUUGGUUGAAUAGUAAGAUCUAACAGGUGAAAAUGAUCUAAAGGGUAGAUCUAACGGUAAAAAAUUUACAAGUACCAAGUGCUUGUAUUUACAAACACCAUAGCUGGACUAUAUAUAUAUAUAUAUAUAUAGAACUAGGCUACUAUGCUAUUAAUAGCACCAAGUCAUUGGUGCUACCAAGUUUUUAGCCAUUGGAUUAAAAGAUGUGUGGUUAGGAUGAUGUGGGCCCUCUAGGGUUGAGUAGGUGGUUGGUUGAAUAGUAUGAUCUAACGGGUGAAAAUGAUCAAAAGGGUAGAUCUAACGGCGGAAAACUUGGUAGCACCAAGUGCUUCGUACUAUUAAUAGUAUAGUAGCCGGACUCUAUAUAUAUAUAUAUAUAUAUAUAUAGANUUGAAUUACCCUUCUCGUGGAUAGUGAUGUCAAUAGAUGGAAUUCGGGGCGAAUUUUCAAAAUCCCAACCUAAAUCCAGUUAUUCAUCUAAAUGUGAACUCGAAUUCGACAGACUUUAAAAGUUCAUAUUCAAACCUGAACCAACCAAAUAUUCGAAAUCCGAAUCUGAAACAAUUAUUUCUCUUUAUCAUAUUUCAAAAUAUAAUAUUAAAUCUAAUUUUUUUAAAUACAAAUUCAAAUAUAACAUCAAAGAGUAAAAUAAAUUCGAGUUCGGGUUCGGGUACAGGCAAAAUUCAUAUCCGAAUCCAAAUUUAUUGGAUUUUUAUUUUUUAUACUAUAUUCGAAACUAUAUUCAUUUAGUAUCGAAUAAAUCUGUUAUGUUCGAAUUUGAGUUCUAAUAAAAUUUUAAAUAUUCGUACCCUUUCACAUCCCUACUUGUGUAUAGUGUGCUAGUAAAAACUACUGGAUUUGCAUGUGGGUGUGUCGGUGUGAGUAUUAUUAUAAACCCUUUUUAAUAAGCAAAUUCAUUUACGGCAAUUCAUUAUCUAGUGAUGCAAUUCUAUUUUCUAUGUAGUUUUCUUCACUUUGGAAUGGUUAUAGGAAGCUUUUCAGCAUCCCUUUCAAGCGUUUCAUCAUUGCUUUUAUUAGAUUAAAGUAUUUGAACGGUUAGGAAAAACAAAUAUUAGAGUACAACAUAUAUAUAUAUAUAUAUAUAUAUAUAUAUAUAUAAAUAAAGAGAGAGAGAGAGAGAGAGAGAGAGAGAGAGAGAGAGAGAGAGAGAGAGAUCUUACUCUCCAACAAUAUCAUUCUUUGUGUUUAAUUAUCGAUCUACAAAUAGCUUUAAUUUGUAUAUCUCUUCUCAUAAAAUAUAUAACAUAUGUACAUGCACCAGAUAUCCGCUAAAAUUUUAUCACGCAUAUUUAUUGACAAUAUAUAUAUACAGUGGAAAGUAAAUGGGUUUUAAUUAGUCAAUUACUUUAGAAAGGAAAAUUCUUGGAUCCUCAAACUUUAUACUGUUUCGCAGCCUUAGAUUUUAGGCAUAGACCAAUGAAGUAAAUCAUUUCACAUUAUGCAUACUACUUAAUACAUCAACACUUUGUAAUGACAAUAGAUUAAUAUGUAGCUGUGCUUUAUUGAAAAAAAAAAAAAAACGUACUAAAGUAAGGACAAAAUAGAAGGUAUAGAACAAUUAUUGAAAAACAUAUGUGCUAAUGCUUUAAUUAUUGGUAAAAAAAUCGUACUAAGGUAAAAAGAAAAAAAUGUCAUAAUGCUUUAAUUUAUACAUCAGCAUUACAUCAUAAUGACAUCAACAAAUAUGAGCUUUGAUUAUUGAAAAAAAAAAUUAUAUAAUAGUUGUUAGAAUUAAAGAGCGGCGAAAAUUUACAAAUUGGAUAGCCAACAUAUCUAAGAGCUGGAAUCGGAUCGGGUUGCUUGUUUUAUUAGCUUGCUUAGAUUGUUCUUACCUCGAUACUUCUAGAUCUCCCAUGUAUCUCGCCUUUUCUCACACCUACGCCUUACAUCACGAAUCGGAUACGUGUAAAUCAAAAAGAGCUACCAGAGUUCUCUUCUAUAUCCACCCAAAACUCUGGGAAUGUAAAUUCUCUUUUGUCAUCAUAUAUAAGAGAGAAGGGAAACUCCUAAAUAUCCUGAAUCUCAUAUCGAGAUUAGAAUUAAAAUAUCUAUAAUGGAUAUCUACUGGAAGAUACGUUUUUUAAUCGCAUAAUUCAUCUUUAUCUUUAACAUAUUAGAAAAAAUUUCAAUAUACAUUUUAUGUGAAUAGGAUUAAACUAAGACCCAUCAAUAUGGACCCACCACAUGAGCAAGUGGCAAAGGGGCUUGGUGGUUGGUAUCCGAGACCCAAGUUCGAAUCCUUGUUGAUUCACAUUUCUAGCUAAGUUUAUUUCUAAAUGAAAUAAACGAAACAGGCAGCGUGCUGACUAUCUCUCUCUCAAAAAAAAAAAAAAAAAAAAGAACUUGUCGUAGAUGUAAACUAAUGUACCUUAAUCAUGAAUCUCGCUCUUCACUUUUCUCCUUCGUGAAACGCAUGGUUCAAUACAAUUUUUGCGUAAAGCACGUAUCAUCAAACUAAUUAAUUAAGGUCUUUGCAAAUAAAUUGUUUAUAAUUUGGUUCGACACUACGUAAAAUAAUUAUUUUGUUUAAAAAUCCUAUGUUGUCAAAGAACAACCCUAUUUCGUAUUUAGUAUAUUCAACACAAAAGCAUCCGAGGGAGUUUUUGUCUAAGUAUUUCUUAUGAUUCGGCCAUUAGGUAUUAAUAUAGUAUUAUAUAAUCAUAGUUGAGCUAGAAUACUAUCGAUAGCAAACAGACUCCGUUGCCACCCAUUUGUUUUUGAUAAUAGAGCCUCCAAAUCAACGAUCGAUAUCGUUGAACAUGAUAUAUACCACUUGAAGUAUUUAGAAAUCAAAUUUCAAAUCUUUUCGACAUCAUUUGCUUGAUGAUCAAAGGGUUUCAAAAUUUGUAAUUUUAAUAGUUGAUAUAAGGCGUUUUCUCGUUUAAUGGCAUAAAGGUAUCUAAAUCAAUUGAAUUUUUAUUAGAAAAUUCUUUAAACUAUUUAAAAUAAGAUCUAUACUCUUGAUCUUGAUUACAAGACUCCUAUCAUUAUUUUUUAAAGAAUAUUCAUUUUCAGUCGUUUAUUUUUGUGUCCACUCGAUGGAUUAGAGAACAAUAUCGAAAAUGUAUGAAAUUUGAUUUCUAAACACUUCAAGUGGUAUAGAUCAUAUUGAACCGUGUCGAUUCGAGCCAUUUCCGGAGUACUUCAUGGAAGACAGUUUAUUCAUUAAGGUGCUCGCCAAGGCUUUAUCGGAGCUGACAAACUGCUCCUCAAUAGCCUUUAGAUAAUCCUUGGCUUUAUUAUAUUCUGGAAUUGAUCCCCUUAUACUUUUUGAUACCCUUGACUUUAUGAGCAUCAAACUUAAGCGGUUGGAUCGCUCCCACUUUUCCUGCGCGGAUUCCUGCUGUGGAGUUAUUGGCCCCACUACCUUAGGCGGUUGUUCAACGCGCAGAGCCAAAUCUAAAUUCAUGUAGCCCAAAAUGAACAUAAUCUGUUCUUUCCACUCCGAAUAAUUAGAACCAUUAAGUAUAGGAACAGAUUCACCAAUAGGAACAGAAAAUGAAUUCAUAGCUGAAAAAUAAAAUGCAUGUUUUAUCAAUAAAAUACCACAUCUAAAUUACCACACCAAAAUUAGAAAAAUACACUUUAUAUGAUAUCACAACCCCUCCUUUGGGAGCAGAAUUAUGAACAUAAGUAUUUUUCGUUCUUUAUGCAUAUGCUUUAUAUGACAUCACAACACCUCCUUUGGGAGCAGAGUUAUGAGCAUAAAUAUGCAAUCAUUCCUUAUGCAUAUCCUUUAUAUGACAUCACAACCCCUCCUUUGGGAGCAGAGUUAUGAGCAUAAAUAUGCAAUCUCUUUGUUAGAGAUUAAUUUAAACUUUCUGUAGGUCGUGAUAAUCUCAAAUUUUCCAUAUGAAGAAAUUGUCAGCUUUGGCCAGGCAAAUUUCUCCAAACGAGUUAUAAGAAAAUUACCAUCCUACACCACCCAUCUACCUUCAUGUUAGACCUCCUUUGGGAGCAGACUAAACAUAAUAUUAGGGUGCAAUUUCGCAUGCACUUCUUUAAAGCAAUUAAUUUAUCUUUUCUUCCGGUCGGGGCCGCUUUGGCUUGCACCCGAAUAGUUGAAGUAAUAAAUUAAUCUGACUUAGUGCUGCAUAAUUAACAUGAAAAUUAUCCGGAAGCGCUACUUUGAAGUAAAUUAAAUCAUUAUUUCUUUUAAUUAGGGCCGCUUUGGCUUGCACCUAACUAAUCAAAAUAAUAAAUUAAUUCAACUCAACGCCAAACAUUANAAACAAUCUAGAUCACGCAAUAAUAAAUAUAUAUAUAUAUAUAUAUAUAUAUUGAAAUAGUGAAACUUAAGAGAAGGUACAAUUAAUUAUGAAAAAAAAUAAAAUAAUAUUUUUUAUUUUUUUUUGAGAGAAAAAUGUACUAUGCUACCGGCUUUGUUUAUUUUUUAAAAAAAAUUAACCAAAAAUAUAAAUUAAUUAAAAUUAAAAUUUAAAAUCUCAUAUAUUAACGAUUAAAUUUUUUGUCACUUAUAUUUUUUUUAUUUUGGAAAAACGACGUACAGGCAUGCUACACGUGGUAGACAUAGGUGUGGUCGCAUAAACUGCCACGUCAAUCUUAAUGGCGAUUGACGGAAAGUAGGAAACAUAUUCUGCUGCAGCGCGUACUCGCCAACCAAUCAGUCAAAUCCCUCACAACUAUCACGUUUUUUUUUCUAUAAUUUAUCAAAUAUUUAUUUUAUUAUUUUAUAAUUUAUUAAAAUUUUAUUUUACUAUUUUAUAAUUUUAACUUUAUUAUUGAUUUAGCGCAAAAAUUAACCGAGAGAAUAAUAAAAAAAAAUAAAUAGAAUACGAAAGAGAUAUAUUUUAAAUCACAAAAUAUUAAAGUAAAAAAAUAAAAUUACAGAAUUGAUGUUUGAAAUUUUUUUUUUUCCCUCUCCUCUUAUGCUUUGGUCUGUUUUUGUAGGGGACAUGCUUUGCGUCGCAAACUAGAAUGUUGAUAUUUUGGUACUAUAAUGUGGCGGACCGUUUAAAUUAUCCAUGCAAUUUAAAAUAUUAUAUAAAUUUAGUUAUAAUCAUUAAUGAUAUAAAAAAUAAUAUUAGGGGAUCUCAUGACAACAUUAUAGAAAAUAGGAAAAACUUCAAAAACCCCCCUGUAGUUUCAUUAUUUCUUACUUUAGUGAAUCAAUUUGCCCCCUUGUGAUCUCAUUUUUAUAUUUUUGAUAUCUUUUUCGUUAAUAUUUCAUUCAAUUAUAUACAAAAAACUUCAGAUAUCCAUCUAGAUUUAUCAAAUAUUCACUUUAGUACUCUUUAAUUUUAACUUUAUUAUUGAUUUAAGAAAAAAAAGAAUGAAAUUGAUAAGAAAAAGAGAAAAAAAAAAUCACAGUGGAACAAAUUGAUACAUUUUAAAUCACAGGAGAAAAAAUAAAAAUUAUGAAAUUACAGGGAAGUAUUUUUAAAGUUUUCCCUAGAAAAAAAAAAUUCUCGCCAACUCCACACACUUUAUCUUUAGUGACGUGCGCCCGUCACACUCAGCAUGCGACUUGUGACGCAGACAACCCUCCCCCACGCACGCCAUUCCCGUUUUGGGGCCGCGAAAAUUUGGAUCCGAGUCAAAGUUAUGUAGGAGGUAAUUUAAAAUCAUACAAUUUACUUCCCUAUCUAUCUAUCUAUCUAUAUAUUGAUAUCAUGGAUUUUUAUGUACAAGUCAUGCGUCUCUAUAUUAGACAUGCGCGUAUUCGUAUCAGACUCGUGUUUAACAUAGACACGUCAUAAACGUGCAUUCGACGCAAGUUCAAGUUCGUAACGCAUCCUGUAUACACACAUCUAUUUUUUUUAAUCUUUUCUAUACAUAUAUAAUAUAAGCUUAGCCUUUCGAUAAAUAUAUACAUAUUUUUUUUAGAUAAUAUAAAUAAAUUAUAUAUAGUAGGAAAUUUCUUUUCAUAAACUAUAUGAACUAUUAAUAAAAAUUUUAUUAAUUUUUAUUUUGUAAGAAAACUAUGAUAAUAUUUGAGUAAAAUUAACUAUUUUGGAGCAGAUGACUAUUGCCGAUGGCGGACCCCGUGGUCUCUCUUGUUUUUGGAGCAUAUGACUAUCGCCCCCACGACUUUUCUAUUUUUUUUUUUUCUGAUUGUUUCCUAGUUUCUUCUUUUCUUUUCUUCUAUUUUUUUAUCCAUUUCCUUUCUCUUCACUCUGGAGGCCUCGACUACUUUUAUUUUGUACGUCGAGUUCAUUUUUCCUAAUAAAUGGAGCCGGUAGCUUGCUACCUUUCUCUCACAAAUAUAUAUAUAUAUAUGUAUAUAUAUAUAUAUACAUACGGCUACUAUCCUAUUAAUAGGAUUGGGACCAUAAAUAUGUAUUAUUGUGUUAAUAAUAUUAUAUUUUAUUAUUGAUGGUCUAUUGCGUUCUAUUUUUUAAAAGCAUGUCGAGUCGUAAUGUUCGAGUCGUGUCUAUAUUAUGAAACUGGAUUGUAUUGAUAUGAUUAGUUCGAAUUAUACGUCUGAACCGGAUUCGGAUUAUUUUCACACCCAAAAUCCGAAUAUUUUUGGGUCGGACAGGGUUGCCGUCAACUUAGGAAAUGGUAAGCUCACCAUGUGGUUACACUCCUCUCCCCCACUCCCCCUCUACUACUAUAUAAAUGCGCUACCAGUUCACGAGUUUCUUGUUGUGGGAGGACGAAGCAUAGAGAAACCCUAGCUAGCCUAAAUUGGAACCUUGACACACCAUCCAUGGAAUCACCAACUCUAGAGGAGUGGCCGGAGCCGAUCGUGCCCGUCCAAUCCUUAUCAGACCGCGGGGUCACCGCCGUCCCCGACCGCUACGUCAAGCCUCCGAGCCAGCGCCGGCUUCUCGCUGGAGACGACGACCGGAGCGACAGCCCGAACAUCCCGGUGGUCGACAUCGGCGGGCUGGUCGCGACCGUUGACGGGUCGGGGGAGGGCCGCUGCCGCCGCAGCGAUGACGCGGCCAUGCAGGCGAUAUCGGAGGCAUGCAAGGAGUGGGGGUUCUUCCAGGUGGUGAACCACGGCGUGAGCCACGGCGUCGUCGAGAGGAUGAGGGGGGUGUGGAGGAGCUUCUUUCGCCUCCCCAUGGAGGAGAAGAAGAUGUACACAAAUUCCCCUAAGACUUAUAAUGGAUAUGGUAGCCGUGUUGGGGUUGAGAAGGGUGCAGUUUUAGAUUGGGGUGACUACUUCUUUCUCACUGUUCUUCCUGAGUCCGCACAAAUACUUGAUAAGUGGCCCAAAGUUCCCCAUAAUUUGAGGUAACAAAGCAUGUCUAGAAUAUGUUCUUCAUUCUUAUAGUUAUAAUUAAGUAGAAUGUUCAAAUUAGAGCUGCUUCCGUCACAUGCGACUCGAGCCGCAUGAUUAGCUUCUCCUUCUCUAAUAGAGAAAUUAACUAAGUUGAUCUUCAUGUUACGUGUCCUAUCGAAGUCUUAUAUAUUCGAGCUGCUUUGUUAGAGUCUUAUAUAUUCAAUCUCCUUGCUUUGUGAUAUAGGGAGAUCACUGAGGAGUAUGACCAUGAAAUGCUGAAGCUGUGUAGGGUGUUAACAAAGGCAAUAUCAGCAGGCUUGGGCUUGGAUGAGAACUACAUAUAUAGAGCAUUUGGAGGAGAGGAUGUUGAGGCUUGUGUGAGGGCGAACUACUACCCGAAGUGCCCACAACCUGAUCUCACCCUCGGCCUCUCGCCGCACUCUGACCCGGGCGGAAUCACCGUGCUCUUGGCCGACGACCACGUCAAGGGCCUGCAGGUUCGCAAGGGCGAUGAAUGGGUCACCGUCAAGCCGAUCCCUGGAGCCUUUGUCAUCAACGUCGGCGACCAGGUUCAGGUUAGCGCGCAUUUGUGAUCCACAUAAACAUGAAUGCAUGACAUAUUGUUCACAAAAAAAUCAUUUAGAAAAGUUAGAACUGAUAUUCUCAAAAGUGUAAAAUUUAAAUAAUUCAACAAAUCAUUUUGAAUAGUUAGAUCUGAUAUUCACAAAAGUUUAGAACUGUUCUAACAUAAUCUCAACGCAAGGAACUAGUGCACCAAAGAUUAUAUAGUAUAUAUAUAUAUAUAUAUAUAUAUAUAUAUAUAUAUAUAUAUAUAUAUAUAUAUGUAUAUAGAGUUGAGCUAGAAUACUAUCGGUAGUAAACGAACCGUUUUAGUACCGAUUUGUUUUCGAUGAUAGAACUUCCAAAUUGACGAUCGGCUUCCUUGAACAUGAUCUAUACCACUUGAAGUGUUUAGAAAUUAAAUUUCAAAUCUUUUCGACAUCAUUUGCCUAAUGAUCAAAGGGUUUCAAAAUUUGUAAUAUUAAAGGUAGAUAAGAGGCGUCUUCUCGUUUAACGGCGUAAAGAUAUCCAAAUCAAUUGAAUUUUUUUUAGAAAAUUCUUUAAACUAUUUAAAACAAGAUCUAUACUCUUGAUAUUGAUUACAAGACUCCUAUCAUCAUUUUUUAAAGAGUAUUCAUUUUCAGCCAUUCAUUUUUCUGUUCACUUGAUGGAUAAAAGAACAAUAUCAAAAGUGCGUGAAAUUUGAUUUCUAGAUAGUUUAAAUGGUUUAAAUCAUAUUUAACGGAGCCGAUCGUCAAUUUGGAAGCUCUAUCAUCGAAAACAAAUCGAUACUAAAACGGCUCGUUUACUACCGAUAGUAUUCUAGCUCAACUCUCUCUCUCUAUAUAUAAUUAGGCUGGAAUGCUAUUAGUAGUAAAACGCCCUUUUUGCUAUCAAGUUUUUAACCCUUGAAUGAAAAAUUGUAGGGUCAAAAUGAUAUUAGUCGGUUAGAGUUGAGUGCUCCCCACUGGGUUAUAGUAUUUAAUCCAAUGGUUAGAAAUAAUAAAAAGAGUUGAUCCAAAGGCUAAAAAACUGGUAGCAAUAAUGGGAUUUUGCUACUAAUAGUAGCCCAGUCCAACUCAUAGAGUUAAAAACUAAUAGUAUCAUCCUACCCUGCAAUUUUUCAUCCAAGAGUUAAAAACUAAUAGUAGCCCAGUCCACUAGUGAUAGUGGGGACCACUCAACCCUAGGGGGACCAACAACUCUAACCGACUAAUAUCAUCAUGACCCUACAAUUUUUCAUCAAGGGUUAAAAACUUGAUAGCAAAAAGAGCGUUUUACUACUAAUAUUAUUCCAGCCUAAUUCUAUAUAUAUAUAUAUAUAUAUAUAUAUAUAUAUUAUAUAUAUAUAUAUAUAUAACUAGUACUAAACAUCCAAUAAUGCACAAGAUAUAUAUACUACCAUAUAUUAACUAGUUAUAAUACUUUGCAUGCUGUUCAUCCUCUAAAUGAAUAAAGCGGGUAGCGUGCUAUCUUUUUCUCAGAAAAAAAGAAAUACUUUGUAUGUUUAACCGAUUGUCUCUAGCGCAAGUGGCAAAAGACUUGAUGCUUAGUACGAAAGAUUUCAAGUUCGAAUUCUAGUUGAUUCACAUUUCUAGCUAAGUUUAUUUCUAAAUAAAAAAAUAAACGAAGCGGGUAACAUGCUACUACCUAUCUCUCUCAAAAAAAAAGAAAUAAAAACUUUGUAUGCUUUAUGUAUGAUCAUAUAACUAUAAUGCUGAAUUUUUAAUUAUGAACUUUUCAAUCUAAGUCGAAUUUUUUUUAUUGUACUAGGAAUUCAAAAGUUGAAUAUAUAAUACACAAAGCCAAUAAUUGAUGUUUGGCAAAUUGCUAGCAAUUAAUUGGCAAUACAUGAAAUUAAUAGAUAGAGUGAAUUUAGAGUGAAUUGAGUUCAUUGAAUCAAAAAGUAACAUUAAAUAUGUUCAAAGAAUUAAUCUGCUAUGCUAUUAAUAUUAUUGCCUUCUCUUUUAGGUUUCCUUUGGAAACUAAAAUAAAACACACAUGAGGCACUUUCUAAAUUCUCCUAUUUAUUCUUCUUAAGUAUCAAAAUCUAUGUGUAAAACAUUGCUCGAGCAAAUUAAGAGGCAUGCAAAAAGUGAUGAAAAAUUAUACUUUUAAAGGCAACUUUGUAAAUAUCAACAUUUCAAAUUCAUGCAUUUUAAGAUUCUAUUAAAUUAGUACAUGAAAAAUGCUUGGAAAUAAAUGGCAAUUAAUUGAGUUGUAAAUUUCAACUUUGAAUGCAUUAUUGUGCCAUUAUUGCUCCAGUGCACGCAUCGAAUUAAUGCGCAAACCCCUAGUUCCUUGGAAAGGAGGAAUACUUUUGCCCAUAGAAUUGCAUUAGUGGCCAAAACGGUAACCUUUAAUUAAUGGGCCCAUAAAAGAGAAUGGUAUUUUUUUUUUUUUUUUUUUUUUUUUUUUCUGUUUGUAAUCGGGCCAAAUGGACUGGGUGUGGUGAGUUGAGUAGAGUAAUCUUUUUUUUUUGUUUUCUCCUCCUUUAUUGUUUCUCGUGGUGCACCUCAACAAAAGUCACAAAACAUAGUCCAAAUUGGAUAGGACAUAGUGGCACUGCUUAAUCACUAAGCAAACAAUGGGGCCAUGCCCUUUUAAGAUGUACCCAUACUAGAGUCAAUUAAUUCUAAUUAAGUCCUAAUCAAAGUUAUUGUAGAUUUUCCCGCCGCACUGUAUGUACACUGUUUGCUUUUCAUUUUUCUCUCGUACGUCCCGAGAUAGCGCUAAAGCAUAUAUGCAUGCAAAUUUAGAUUUCACUGUAGUCGAAAGCGAAAGGAACGUAUGGAAAUGAUGAUGUACAUCUCAAAAUCCUAAAAUUGUAACAAGCACAAUGUUCUCGUGAUGAAAUUAAUCAUUUAGACCUCCAUGCUAGUAACCUUAGAAUGUUUGAACACUUCUUCUUAAACCUGUUAUGAAUAUUUCUAGUAAGCUUAGAAUGUUUGAACACUUCUUCUUAUGCCUGUUAUGAAUAUUUCUAGUAACCUUAGAAUUAGGUCCCGUUUGGAUACUCCUAAAAACGUAGCAUAGUUAAACUAUACUACGACGGUAGGAAAAAUAUCCUAUAAAGCGUUUCGGAGGAAAAAAAGUAACGUAAUUUUUGAAGCAAAGUUAAACUAUACUCCAAAAAAUUGAGUAAAUGUAUAAUUCACUUUAACCAAAGGAAAAAAAAAUUCCAUCAUUUUUGAGCUCCNUUUUAUAUUUUUCAAAUUAAAAAUUAAAAAUUUUAUAUUUUUAAAUUUAAAUUUAAAAUUUAAAUUUUAAAAUUUAAAUUUUAAAAUUUAAAAUUUGGGAGUUUAAUUUUAAAUUUUAAUUUCAAAUUUGAAAUUUAAAUUUUAAAAUUUUAAAUUUAAAAAUUAAAAAUUUCAAAUUUCAAAUUUUUUAUUUUAAAAUUUUAAAAUUAAAAAUUUAAAAAUUAAAUUUAGAUUUUUAUAUUUUAUAUUUUUAAUUUUUAAAUUUCAAAUUUGAAAAUUUAAAAUUUAAAAUUCAAAAUUUCACAUUUCACAUAUCAAAUUUUAAAUUUUAAACUUUUUUUGAAAUUUUAAAUUUUAAAUUUUAAUUUUUAAUUUUUCAAUUUAGAAAAAUUCCGUGAAAUUGCACAAUGCAUAUCCCAACAGUUUAAAAAUUGAAUCCGUGGAAUUUUUUAAAGUUGCCGGAUUCUUUACUUUAUCUAGACCAAAACCAUAGUUUAUAAAUUCCGUAGAAAUAUUUUACUGUGCAUUCAAACAUGCCCUUAAUGUUUGAACACUUCUUCUUAAACCUGUUAUGAAUAUUAAUUUCUAUAUAGGCAUACGUAGUUUUCUAUUAUAUAGAUACCAAAACUGGCUACUUCUAAACCCCUUUCGUUCUGUGCAAAUCUUGCGUAGGAGUUUAAAGGAAAUAAUUUUAAAAGCCAGGCCAAGCAUGCAUAAACUAAAGUUGGAGCUAGUUAAUGACGCAAUUUGAUACGCAAGAGCAUAAUAAUUCGCUUUUUCUCUACCUUGUAUGUAUGUAGGUGAUAAGCAAUGCCAAGUACAAAAGUGUGGAGCACCGAGCACUGGCCAACGCAGUCGAGCGCUUCUCCAUAGCCUUCUUCUUCAACCCUAACGGCCGUGUGCCCAUCGGGCCAGCUCAAGAGCUCAUCACACCGCAAUCUCCUCCUUUGUACCACCCGGUCACGUACAACGAGUAUCGGUUGUACGUGCGCAAGAGGGGUCCUCAUGGCAAGUCGCAGAUCGAUUCUCUCACCGCUUCUUAGAAUUGGCACAGAGAUCUUAUCAUACUUGGACAAUCUCAUUCACAAGGUGGAGAUGUAUAGACCUUACCUGAAUUGCAGCACAUUUUGAAACGAGUAUCUGAACGUCAAAAAAUUUGGCUUUUGCUACCUAAUUUUAAAAGUAUUCAUCAUGCUCUUUUUCAAACUCAAAUAGAAUUUUAUGGUUUUUAUUAGAAAAUUUAAACAAAUGUUGAUUUGGACAUACAAAGCUAAAUAUAUUGCAAGAUUAGAUAGUAAGAUCUAAACUUUUAAACUUCAGAUAUAUACUUGUUUCAGAAUGCAGCAUAUUCCAGGCAAGUAACAAACAUUUUUACCAAAUUUAUAAUGUUAUCGAUUGGCUUCUACCUUAGCCAAAUAAUAAAAACAUAUUAUGUUUUGGUUUGUGGUGUUGUAUCUUGGAUUGUUAGUAGUAAAACAAUAGGGAAUGAUUUGUGCAUGUCGCUUAUGUUAUGAAAAGGGGAUGGCAACUUUGUUAAUGCGUGACCAUCAUUAAACUGUUAGUAUUAAUUUGAUUUUGGUGAUUUAAAACUUUACUUUAAUCCUUGGACUUUCUUGGGCAGUUUAACAUUCUAUAAGCCUUACUUGGGAGUUCGUGCAUAAAUUUUUAUAUGUGAGAUUAAUCCCAUAUUAAAAACUAAAAGCUAAUUGUUGCAUAUUUUAUACUCCAUCAUUCUCAAGCUAGUUGCCUAGGAGAUAAUGAGAGUGAUACUUUUCAGAAAACACACGCACGGCGGCACCGUGUUUUGGUUACCGAGUCGGGCAGGAUUUCAUAUUUUAACCUAAUCAUUGCCCUUCUUCUUCCUCUUGUUCUUUUGUACUGAGCUUUACUGAUAUUUUUCGGAGCCUCGCACCCCUCGCAUGUGGAUGAGCAAUCUCGUUUAAGGACAGUGCUUAGUAUGUCUCGACUCAUCACAUGCCUCUUCUAAUCUUUUCUUCCUUAUAAUAUUUAGUUAUUAAAUCUUGCAUGCAUUUUAAAAAACUCUUUUGAACUUUGCAUUUCAAAAUAAUUCAAAAAGGAAAUAAUUUUUACUAAAAGAUUAGAGAGAAUUUUUCAUAAACUGCUAUUCGAGUUGCAUGUGUUGUUCAAAAGAAUAUAUUAAUUUUUCGUAUUAAAGUUACGUCAAUUUAUAUUCUUUCUGAUACAAACAUUGUAAACGCAUCAAGCUAGUGUUUUAUUCAACAAAAUAGAACCCUAUAUCAUAACUUAAAGUUUGAAGUUUAUCAGAGUGUCAGCAUCCAUUAUUUUUUUCAAAAAAAAAGGUAAACACGGCAUAUGCAACACUUCGCUACCGACUCCAUUGUUCGUUCAUACAUCGUUGUAGUCGGCAAAAUCUGAUAUUCCCCCGCCGACUUCUACUUAAAAGCUCUACAAAGCUUUUUCCCCGCCGAAAUAUAAUUAAAAAUAAUUAAUUACGAGCGACCCACCUAUAAAAUUCCCGAGACUCUUCGUCUCCGAACCUCACCUCUUUCGCUCUCCCUCUCGCUCUCUCUCUCUCUCUCGCCCACUGGAAUGCGAAUUAGGGUUCGAAGUGUACGCAUUGUUUGUGUAAUUUGAGGUAAUAGCACCUUGUGGAUCCUGAUUAGGGGUGGAUGUGGUGUUACUUUAUGGCAAUCGCGCGCUUCAAUGGUGAUUUGGCACAUUCCUCUGCGCAUGAUCUCUUUUUUCCCACCAGUUUAUAUUGCUAUUUUUAUAUUUUGAUUAUGUUUUAUGAUUUAAUUUAGUACCAAUUUUGUUCUUCAUGCAUGAAACGCGUGGAAUUUAGGGGAUUUUAUCUUCAAAUUGCCGUGUAAAAGUACCAACAUUUUAGGUUUAGAAGAAUGUGAACUUAGAAAAUGUGUGAAGCACAUAAUAUCGGUGUUGAUCUACUUUGUCCAGUACAUUGUGCACAUGUGAUAGUCCAUAAAGUUUGAAAUCUUAAGGAUCUCUUUUGAUUUCACUAGUUUGGGAUUUUUAACAAGCCAUUAUCAAUAAGUUUAUUGAUCACUUGUAUGAAAAGGGUAGUUAUUAUUUUAUCAUAAUAAUGAUUUGUAGUUUUAGUCUAUAAGGAGUUCAUUACAUAUUUAAUACUGCAUUUUUCAAAAUAUGUCACCUUGAGGAAGAACAACCAUUUCUGUGUUUCGAUGUUAAAAGUUUCCAUCACUCGACAACUAUGGAUUUCAAUUUUCUAAUGUAUCAAACACUUCGCAGUGGCACUAUUUGUACUUUAGGUUUGUCGUCAUAGCGUCGAACUUGAAGAAAGUUUAACUUCAUUAUAUUAAGGAAAUUAUAUGUUCACAAUAUCAUCCCUGAGCAAAAAGCAAAAAGAGUGUGGCCAAAUAAUCAAGAAACCGAGGGGAUUCGUGUGCUCGACCUCGAUAUUUCUUAUCGAUAUUUAUGGUGCUGCAUCAAUAAUCGGUGCUUCACUUUAGCUUCUCCUCCCAUUCUCCAGUCAACUGAGGAUCUGUUUGAUAGUAGACAACAUCUCCCACAUCACUAACAAAGUGAUCGACUCGCAAGCUCCUCAUUAGUACCCCGAAGAGGUGCAACGGAAGAGGCCCCGAUUUCUCUGGUUCGCGGUAGUAUUUCCCUAGUACUGGCUUAGCUGCCCUAGUCUGAAAAUUUGAACACACAUUAAUUGAUUCAGCACUUUUUUGUAACAUUACAGAAACAGUAUAAGAUAACCCUCUAAUGAAAGGGAGUUUUACAUAUCUAUAUCCCUGCAACAUCAUGUAUUUAGAUACAGACCUGUAAGAUCUGAAUAUCUAACAAAAACACAUUUAUUAUUAAGGCAUAUAUGGCAAUUCUGAUUUUGCGACGAUAUGUAUUUAAAAGUAUAAGGUUGCAGGACCUAGUUAAAUGUCUCUAAUAAAGAGUAGGUGAGGAGGAAAUAUUACUUACUGCUUCUACUAAGUGGUAGUGUGGUAUCUGUGGAAAGAGAUGAUGUAUCACAUGAGUUCCAAUGUCAUGGUGGAUAUUGUUUAUCCAACCGUAGUCUCUAUCUACAGUUGUUAGCGCUCCGCGGAGGUAGCUCCAUUCCUAAGGCACAAUUAAGAAGAGGUUGGUAUUAUUUCUAAGCUACUUUUGGUGACAACAGAGAACCUCCAAAAGGGGGGAAAAAAAGAAUGUUGAAGAGUGAAAAAUUGGAAGAAGAAUAGUUUGGAGAUGAGAGCAAAUUUGUUACCUUGCCGCGAUACCAAGGGAGGUCAUGGUGACCAUGGUGGUGUAAGUAGGUUACAAAGUCCAACCACAUCACGAACACCUUAGAUUCAAACAAUCGCGCAUAGAGAUUAGAACUUAAGAGACCACCAAGUCCUAAUGGUAAAUCUCAGGGACCAAGUUGAUUCUUACAAGAUAGGGAACUCCAUAGAGUUUGAGAACUGGAACUGGGCCUACUACGUAUGCUAGGCCCAGAAGCAGCGCGACCAUCAGGAACCAACAGAUUGUUGAUAUUAGAACAUCAUAUUUCUCAUUUGGCUGAAACAAGCUGCUACUCGGAUGAAAAUGAGAGCCUCUCUUUCCAGGGCUUCUUGUCCACUGCAAAAGAUAAAUCGACAUGAAACGGAAGCAUAAUGCCUCUAUUAUAUGUAGUGAUUGUAAUUGAAUGGAUCCUUUUGAUCAGCAAACAAGAUGGAAAAAAGAGGAAGAAAAAAAUUGAGUGUUUGCUAGCACUCGGAUCAUCUUUGCUGUGUUUGUAUCAAAUGAAGGCCGAACCAUUUCUAUGGAAAAUUGAAGUGGAGUUGCCGAGAGUAAUAAUUCUCCAAGAUUUCAAUUUGAUAAUUUUGACAUUUAGCAGUAUAGAAAUCUUGAUUCAGCAUGAACAGAGAGAAAAGAAAAAUAAAAUAGACUGGUAAAUGAGUCUUAAUUGCUCGCUAACCAGGUAAAAAUGUACUGAACUUAAACUCACCAGAUAAAGAGGGUACGCAAACAAAGGAAACGGUAAUGUGUAACGCAGCUUUUGAGUGACAAAAUCCAGUCCCCUGUAUGUCUUUUCAGAUAGCUGCUAGACAAAAGAAAUUAUAAGAUUGCUGCACAUAAAUCAAUUAUUUUUGAACUUAAUGUAGAAAAGUGUAGAUUGUUUCAUUGUUGAGAACAAGACCCAUUAUAUGUAAUGUUACUCUUGUUAGAAUUGCACUAUUUUGCAUUGCAGUUUAUCCCAUUCAUCAAUUAUUUUUAGAUAUCUCAGCAUACAAAUUGGAAAUACAGCCUAAAAAGAAAGAAAUCAGUUUGGUUGAUCUUUCAAACCAAAAUAUUUCUUAGCUUUUUCCAUUUCAUCUUACUGUUCGGAAGAUGCUGUCCUCUUUUUUUUUUAAUACUAACCUCCAAGCUGCUAAAAAGCAGAACAUGCCUCUUGUAUCAUUUACUGAUUUGCAUUUACAUUACUGGAUAAUGUUCCUUCAAAGUUUAAUGCAGAUAGAAACUCCUUUUUCAAAGGGAAAAAUAUUCCAUUCAAAUUGUCAUCUUUCUUUUCUUUCUUUGGACAGGUUUAUCAUCUUUAAAGAUACACACACGCACCAAAAGGGAAAAAGAAAAGGAAAAGGAAAAGAAAAUGUUGAAUAUGUUCUCGCUCGAGCAUUCACGCAACACGCAAUAUCCUGGAAUAAAUAUUGCGCUAACAACCAAAAGAUGUGACCUCCCCUGUCAAAGAAUUUCUAUUCCUUGAUCCUCUACACAGGAAUUUUGCAAGGAAUUCCUUAUUGAUAUAAAUCACCACAGGUAAUAUUUCUACUUUUCUCUUUUAAUAGCAUAAUUUCGGUUUUAAUUGCUUUUAAUUUCGCUUUAGUUGUGCAUCCACGCAACUAGAUUCAUAUAAUAGGUAAAACUCUAGUCAAAUAAUCCCCCCAUAGCAAAGAAUGUUCAUAUGUUCUGUUUUACUCAAAAUUGUUAUCAUACUGCUGAUAUAUCCUCUCUAAUAUUAUAUGCCAUAAGAAGAUUGACUUGUAAUAUGUAAAUCUUAAAGAACAAAAUCACUAACUUAUUAAACAUAUAUAAAACUGACGCAUCAAUUGUAUUCUACAAUAUAUUCAAAACUACCAUCAAAUCAGUCACCUCGACCUAGGAAACGCCCUCACACUAAAGGAAUGCAUCUUUAGACCUAACAAAAACGAGGAGUUUGGGAUACAUUUUAGGUUGGUUGCUAAAUUUUCUCAUUCAGCAAUACUAUUUGUACACCUAUAAAAUAGAUGUAAAAUUUACACUCUAAACAAUUAAAGGCUCACAUUACUCACUAGUUUCAUCAUUUUUUUUUUGUACUUAAAACCUAAAACAACUGCUAAUUAUAAAAUAUAAAAUUUACAUUCCAUAAGAAAUUAUACAUGUAGCAUUUUCCUUCCCAUUUGUGUUGGUGGUACAAAGACNAAAAAAAAAAAAAACAACUGCUAAUUAUAAAAUAUAAAAUUUACAUUCCAUAAGAAAUUAUACAUGUAGCAUUUUCCUUCCCAUUUGUGUUGGUGGUACAAAGACACCACAGCUAAGUUGUCCCUAGCUUUAAUGUAAAGGGUCAAGAGUCAAGACUGCCUUCCAAAAUAUUAAAUGGCGUGCAAACCUGCGGCCGACUGACUUUCAUAAAUUUAUGCACCAUUUCAUUCAUGAAUUAACUUAAAAUCUUCACAUCCCAUAUGUCAGUAUAUUAAUAAUUUAAUAACUUUUAAGUACCGCGUUGAAAAGGACUUACAUCAAUAGGUUUUUUUAAAGAACCCACAAGGAUCCUUCAAUUGGGUCCGCAGUGUGGGGACUUCUAGCUAAUUUCCAUCCAUCUAUUUGUAACUCCGAAAAAGUAAAAAUAGUUUAUUUCAAAAAAAUGGCACAAGUAAAAGAGUCAUAUACAUAAAUAAAAAAUAUUUUUAGAUUAAAAAAUAUUUAUAACUAUAUAUAUAUUGUAAAGAGAAAAAAAUAACAAUCUAUCCAUUUUUCUUAAAUAACAAAAUUUAAUUAAAAAUAAUUAUACUUGGAGCUUGAUAUCUCAGCUAUGGACAAUCUAAGUACAAAGGAUUAGUGAGAAUCAUAGGUUAUCAACGGAUCAAAUGGUUUGACGAGAUACCUCGAGUGGGUAUUAGCCGUUGGAUCGAAGUCCGUACAGAUACGUACUAAAGAGUUGGUCCCAACUCUCAAAAGGUGGUCACUUUACCUUUUUUGAAUUCUCGGACGUGUGGGUCACCAGGUUUGGUACCAAAUUCACCACUAUUUCAAAUUUUGGCUCCAAAUAGUUGGAACGUAUAUUUAAAUUGAGCUAGAUAGAUUAAGAGCGACAGGUCAAAUUUAUUAAAUCAGAUUAAAUUUUUUUUAAUAAAUAACGAGUCUGUCCCCACUCCCAAUAUUGCUUUUUCUGCGCUUUAAUUUUCGUGGAGGCAAGUACCAAAUUUUGGUACUUUAAAUCAUUACUAUUUGAAAUUAGAAGUGUGUUGAGUCUUUCUUAAUAUUGUUUAUAUAGUAUGUAAUAUUUUCAUAUUGCAUGAUUGAACCGGUCGAUAAGUUUCUAUAUCAUGUGCGUCGAUGCAACAGCAAUAUUCAAAAACACAUUUUGCGAGAUCUAUAGUCGUACUCAAUUUCAAUCCAAUUUUUGCAAGCAAUAAGAGAGCUAAAUUUACUAAGAAGAGAUCGAACUUAUUAAAUCUAGUCAAAUUAAAUUAGUAAAUAAUAUUUCAAUUUAAUAAAUUUACGUAUUAAUAUUAAAAUUGGCUUUGAUAAUAUUGAUAUCACCUAAAAUAUCUGGCUUCCAUUUUUUUUAAAAAAAAAUUAGAGAGGAUUCAGUUAAAGUAAGUAAAAUAAUUAUUUUUCUCCAAAAACUUAAACUAUUAGAGAACUGUAUUUUUUUUAUAUUUAUAUUCAAUACUCUUUCUUAUGUUUGGACUCGAGAUUUUUUGAUAGAAAUUCGAAACGUGAAACUAAAUUAAAUAGGAGAAAAUUAAACGAAGCUGGAAGUCUGACGGACUCAAAUUCAGAAUCUUCUGCUUUAAUAUUAUAUUAAAUUUAUAUAAAUAAUAAUAAUAAUUAUUUUUCAAAAAUUUGAGAAUGUAGGUUUUAAUAUUUAAUAUUCAACAGGAUAUAAGUCCGAGUCCUUUUCUCUUGGGGCGGACCAAUUUAAAUGUCUCCAAUCAAAAAGUUUCAAACCUCUUUGUUGUUUAUUAUUGAGUUUAAUGUUCGUUUCAGUGGAAUCACAUGGCACUUUCAGGGUCGUAUUUAUUGUACUUGUCGGAGCCAAAUCUAUCUCUACAUUGGUUACUAUAUAUAUUUAUAUAUAUAUAUAUAUAUAUAUAUAGUCCGGCUGCUAUGCUAUCGAUAGCACCAAACACUUGGUGCUAUCAAGUUUUCUGCCGUUAAAUUAACCCCUUUGAUUAUUUUUGCCCGUUAGAUUAUACUAUUCAACCAACCACCCACUCAACCCUAGAGGGCCCAUAUCAUCCUAACCGCAUAUUUCUCAAUCUAAUGGCUAAAAUAUUAAUAGCACCAAUAGCUUGGUGCUAUUAAUAGUAUUCCAGCCUAGUUCUAUAUAUAUAUAUAUAUAUAUAUAUAUAUAUAUAUAUAUAUAUAGAGUCCGGCUGCUAUGCUAUCGAUAGCACCAAACACUUGGUGCUAUCAAGUUUUCUGCCGUUAAAUUAACCCCUUUGAUUAUUUUUGCCCGUUAGAUUAUACUAUUCAACCAACCACCCACUCAACCCUAGAGGGCCCAUAUCAUCCUAACCGCAUAUUUCUCAAUCUAAUGGCUAAAAUAUUAAUAGCACCAAUAGCUUGGUGCUAUUAAUAGUAUUCCAGCCUAGUUCUAUAUAUAUAUAUAUAUAUAGUUCGGCUUGGUACUAUUGAUAACAUCAAGAAUUUAGUGCUAUCUAGUUUUCUAUCGUUAGAUUUAACCAUUUGAUUAUUUUUAUCUGUUAGAUUAUACUAUUCAACUAACCACUUAUUCAAUCCUAUGGGACCCACAUCAUUUUAACUACACAUUCCUCAAUCCAAGGGCUAAAAAAUUAACGGCACCAAUAACUUGGUGCUAUUGAUAGUAUUUCAGCCUAAUUCUAUAUAUAUAUAUAGAGAGAGAGAGAGAACUAGGCUGGAAUACUAUUAAUAGCAUCAAUGACAGCAUCAAUGACUUUGUGCUAUUAAGUUUUCUACACUUCGAUUAAAAAAUGUGCGGUUAGGAUGAUGAUGUGGGGUUCCUAAGGUUGAGUGGGUGGUUAGUUGAAUAGUAUAAUCGAACGGAUGAAAAUAAUAAAAAAGGUAAAUCUAACGGCAGAAAACUUGAUAGCACCAAAUGCUUCAUGCAAUUGAUAGCAUCAUCCUAGCCGCAUAUCUCUUAAUCCAAUGGCUAAAAAUCUACAAGUACCAAUCUCUUAGUACUUUUAAAACCAUAGGAGCUCAAUUUUAUAUAUAUAUAUAUAUAUAUAUAUAUAUAUAUAUAUAGAGAGAGAGAGAGAGAGAGAGAGAGAGAGAGAGCUAGGGUGGUAUACUAUCGGUAGCACGAAGGCCUCCGUGCUACCAAGUUGUUUUCAAUGAUACGGCUUCCAAAUCGAUGAUCGGCUUCGUUAGACUUAAUCUACACUAUUAAAAGUAUUUGAAAACUAAAUUUUAUAAAUUUUCGACAUCAUUUACCUAUNNNNNNNNNNNNNNNNNNNNNNNNNNNNNNNNNNNNNNNNNNNNNNNNNNNNNNNNNNNNNNNNNNNNNNNNNNNNNNNNNNNNNNNNNNNNNNNNNNNNNNNNNNNNNNNNNNNNNNNNNNNNNNNNNNNNNNNNNNNNNNNNNNNNNNNNNNNNNNNNNNNNNNNNNNNNNNNNNNNNNNNNNNNNNNNNNNNNNNNNNNNNNNNNNNNNNNNNNNNNNNNNNNNNNNNNNNNNNNNNNNNNNNNNNNNNNNNNNNNNNNNNNNNNNNNNNNNNNNNNNNNNNNNNNNNNNNNNNNNNNNNNNNNNNNNNNNNNNNNNNNNNNNNNNNNNNNNNNNNNNNNNNNNNNNNNNNNNNNNNNNNNNNNNNNNNNNNNNNNNNNNNNNNNNNNNNNNNNNNNNNNNNNNNNNNNNNNNNNNNNNNNNNNNNNNNNNNNNNNNNNNNNNNNNNNNNNNNNNNNNNNNNNNNNNNNNNNNNNNNNNNNNNNNNNNNNNNNNNNNNNNNNNNNNNNNNNNNNNNNNNNNNNNNNNNNNNNNNNNNNNNNNNNNNNNNNNNNNNNNNNNNNNNNNNNNNNNNNNNNNNNNNNNNNNNNNNNNNNNNNNNNNNNNNNNNNNNNNNNNNNNNNNNNNNNNNNUACUGAUCUUACUCUAAAUAGUGAAAAGAAUUUUCUAUAAAAAUUUCAUCAGAUUUGAAUUGUUUUACACCGUUAAAUUCACAAACGCAUCAUAUCUACCACUAAAAUUGUCAAUUUAGAGACCUUUUGAUCAGUAGCUAAAUGAUGUCAAAAAAUUAUGAAAUUUAGUUUCCAAAUACUUUUAAUAAUGUAGAUCAAGUCUAACGGAGUCGAUCGUCGAUUUGGAAGCCGCAUCAUUGAAAACAAUUUGGUAGCACGGAGGCCUCCGUGCUACCGAUAGGAUACAUAUGCUACCGAUAUAAUUGAGCUCAUAUGCUUUUAAAAGUACAAAGUCAUUGGUGCUUAUAAGUUUUCGACUCUUGGAUUAAGGAAUGUGCGGUUAGGAUGAUGUGGCCCUCUAGGGUUGAGUGGUUGGUUGGUUGGUUGGUUGGUUGAAUAGUAUAAUCUAACGGAUGAAAAUGAUCAAAGAUAUAGAUCUAAUGGUAGAAAAUUUACAAACACAAAAUGCUUGGUGCUUUUAUAAGCUCUAUAGCCGGGCCAUAUAUAUAUAACCUCCAACAUGUCACAAUCAUUUGUAUAAGGUGACAAAGUUUGAGAUUCUCAUGAAUAAAAUAACUUAAACUGAUCAACCUUCAAUAGUUGAAAGAGCUUAUUAGUUAGUACCUCACGUUUAAAGUCUAACCGUUUUAUAUCUUCAACUAAAUUUAUUUAAAAAAUAAAUAAAACAGAUAAUCUACUAUAAAAAAUUAAUAAUAUUUUAAAUUUUUAGUACGACAAAACAUUAAAAUAAGUCGAAAAACUGCUUAGAAAAUUUUAUAAAGAUUCUUAUACCCUAUAUACCAAUUUCGAUUCAUCAGAGCAUUUAUGAAAUGAUGGAAUCAAAAUAAUAUAAAGAAAACAAAAUGGGGGAGACGAUUUCGAUACGGGUGAUUGACAUACUAUUAGCUGAGUAAUUUAUUGUCGGAAUAUAUUUUUACUUUUUGAAUAAGCCUGUAGGCUCCACCUCAAAGGAUCUUCCAACAUAUAUAACACUUUCGCGGGAGGUUCAGAACUACUGGACUAGGUAGUAAUUGGCACGUAUUUUUGAAAUAAAUGAUCAAAAAUUUAAUAUAGAUAACCAUUAUAGCAGGCUUAUAUUAUAUAUGUAGGAAUAGUUAGAUACAUUUCGAAGCUUAGGUUGUAAAACUAUAAUCUAAGGAACUUAUUGACCGGAUUUGCACAUAAAGUGAAGUUCCUAAAAGAUUUACUGUAAACUACGAAACAAACAAAAUCUUAAAAAUAAAAGAAAAGAGGAAAAAAGGAAAAAAUAGUGCAAAAACUCACAGGGUGCCAUGACUCAUCCCUCUCCACAUGCCCAUGAUUCUGGUGGUGCGUCCUGUGGCUAAUCCUCCUUCACUCAAGAGAGGCAAAAAAUAAUCUAUUUACUAAACUUUACUAUGUGAUCAGGGGCCAAAAAAAAAGCAUAACAAAGUAAUAAAAUCAGCAAAAAUGUCUGCUAAAAUAAGAUCAUAGAUUUUACGCAUAAUAACAAAUAGUAUUUUUGCAGAAACUGUACGUUAUAAUUUUUUUUUCUAUAAAAACCUUUAGCUAUACCAAAUAUGGCCAUAUCCAAAAAAAAAAAGAAAAAUAAGAAAAAAAAAUUAAGAAAGGGCCUUACCAUCCAUUAUAGGGCACUAGAAUGAAGGUGUGAAGGAGGUGACCCACCACACUGUUGAGAGUGGCAUUGCUGGAGAAGCUCCCAUGCCCACUGUUAAUAACCAAAUUAACAACUCCCCCCACAUUACUACUAAUACUACUACUACUACAAAAAAAAAAAAAAAAAAAAAAAAAAAAAAAAGGUAUGGAGGACCCCUCAACUACAGUCGAUUUUGUAAAAUGCCCAUUAACNAAAAAAAAAAAAAAAAAAAAAAAAAAAAAAAAAAAAAAAAAAAAAAAAAAAAAAAAAAAAAAAAAAAAAAAAAAAAACAAAACAUAA
rnacentral:lncRNA from 1 species